GAUAAAAUAAUGCAGGAAAUCUUUACAAUGCUAACCUACGACGGUAGUGAACAAGGAUGGGCUGUUUUCAGCAGGGGCAUUUAUGACAUGACUAAAGGAAAAUGUGACAUUUUGCUAACAGUUCUCGACAACUUUAGACAAUGGCAAGAAAAAGUGGAUCACCCUGCUAAGUUUGUGCCUGUACUGGACGCGGAGAUCAGUGGUGUCCACCUCGAACACUACUGCAAUCGUCUCAUUCUGCCGGGGCAAACUGGAUGCAUCUCUAAGAGGGUGGUAUGCUCCGAAUGUGGACGUACCAUGGACAAGUAUGUCAUGUACUGCUGCUGCACCGACUAAUCUGCAAUAUUAUUACUACUCCUAUUAUUAAGGCUUUUGCUGCCAUUAUAUAUUUCAAAAUAAACUUUUAUCUUCUAUAUUUUCAUGGCUUUUCCUUCUCAACCUAGAUGAUAUGUUGCUUGUAAGAGAAAGUGAAUAAAAGUGUGGAACUCUCUAUUAGAGAAUUUGAAAUUAAGCUUGGGAAUUCACGCAUAUAUCUGAGUUUGGUAAUUAAUAAGGAUCGAUUCAAAUCUGUCUUGAAUUUGAAACAAAGUUCUUAUGUGAACAAUGCAGAUGAAAGAUUUAAAUGGAGUUGUCCAAACCUUUAAAAUUAAGUUCAUUGCGGUGCCCUAAGAACAAUUUAUUCGACUAAAACACUAUAAUACAGAACCAUAAAACACCGCCAAUAUUUCAGGCCACAAGAUUAUUGUAGUAGGAGGAUUUUUCAACGUAUAUCAUUAAUCUUUCAUUCCAAAAGGAUCACAAGAAUAAAAAAAGAAGAUGAAGACGAAAAAGAUGAGAGAAAACUCUAGACACUGGGGAUACUCAAUCAAGCACAAUCCAUGUGUAAGGCAAGGCUAUUUUUUCUCUAAUAAAAUGAUACUUCACGUCAAUAUGCUUGGAUCUCUCAUGAUAGACAUAAUUUUUACUCAGUAACAAUGCACUCGGGCUAUCGAUGAGUAUAAUAGGAGAAUCAUGCCAAAAAUUCAAUUUUUCUCCGAUCAUUGUCACCAGCAAAACAGUAUCUACAUAUGUUUUAAGUGUUGGUUUAUUUGACCUUUUUUCAUAAACAAGACUAGGGCUUCAUGUACCAACAAUGUAUCUUAAAAAUCAUUUUAAACCAACCCAAUGUAGAGAUGGUGAAAGCACUCCAUGAAAGGGUCAGGAUGCAGAUUGAAGAGAAAGGAAAGCUGGUUGCAUCAAAAGCAAACAAAGGAAGGAGACGCAUUACAUUUGAACCUGGAGAUUGGGUCUGGGUGCAUUUCAGAAAGGAGCGUUUUCCAGAACAGAGGAAGUCGAAGUUGCAACCAAGAGGCGAUGGACCGUUUCAAGUCAUCGAGCGGAUCAACGACAAUGCCUACAAAGUGGACUUACCAGGUGAGUAUAAUGUUUCAGCUACUUUUAAUGUUGUUGAUCUAUCUCUUUUCGAUGCAGGUUCAGAUUCGAGGACGAAUCCUUUCGAAGAGGGAGGGGAUGAUAUGAAUCAAGGCACGUCCAAAACCGAAGCGAGUCAAGCAACGAGUUACGAAAAGGAUCCAUUGAUAGUCGAAGGUGGACCGAUGACGCGAUCGAGGACAAAGCGAGUGAAAGAAGCGAUGGGAUUGCUUGUCAAGCAAACGAUGAUGAAACAAUGUUCGGGAGGUCAAAUGGAACAAGUUUCAUGAUGGGGUCGAAGACCGAAGGAACUUGGAUCAACGAGAUAAAAGCGGAUGAAGGCGGCACGGAGUUGGUCUAUGCGACCGCAGGCUCAACGGCCUAUGCGGCCGCAUAGAUCAAAAAGCGGGAAAAAAAUUUGUUUUUUUUUAAUUUUUGCCGAAUCUUCUAAUGUUGGUAGAACUCUUGUGAAAUCAAAAUAUUCCCAUAUUUUGAUUAAUUUGGACGUUUUUUAUGCCAUAGUAUAAAUAGGAAACUCUUUUCAUUAUGUAAAAACUUUUUUCUGAAAUUAAUAGAGAGAGAGAAAUUUCCUUUCAAUCAAUUGUUCUUCAUUGGACAAACUUAGAACUUAUCAAGAAUCGAUUUCUUGUGGCGUUCUUGACGUCGGAUUGUGGGUUUCAUUGAUUGUAAUAAAGGGGUUUUAGAUUCUUCGCUAAUCUAAGGUUUCGUGGUUCGAUUAUUGGGGUUCAAGUUCCAAAACCGGAUUAGUAUUGGCGUUCUUGGGUUCCGCAUCAAUCUAGUUGUGGGUUUCGUAGUUUCCAUUGCUACGGGGCUCGCAUCAACAAAUUUGUAUGGAUAUAGUCUAGGGAUCUUUUAGUACUAUGUGAACAUAUCUCAAAACUCACCUAGUGAAAAUUUUCCUAUACAUGUUUCACAAAAAUUCAAUGGUUCUAUUAAAUCAUUCCCAAGUAAUUUCUAAUUACUUAAAGAUUUUAGACCCUUAUUUCCAAUGUACCCGAUUCUAUUAUGUCAAAGACUAGAUUUAUUUUCAAUUACAGAUCUAUUUGUGAAGUAACUGUAUCACCCACAAGAUAGUACAUUCUAUUUCUCUUAGUCCCUUUCGUAACAACUGAGGAUCCUUUCACAACCUUUAAUGUGUUAUUUUCAUAUUUAAAUACAUGCUCUUCAAAUUCAAGAAUCCCAAUAGAUAAGGUUUCUUUACAGAGUAGGCGCAUAUCGACAUUCUUUAUUGUUCUGACAAUGACAUCAUGCAUCUUGAUGGUGAUGUCACCAAUACCAACUAAUGUUUAUGAAUUAUUAUCUACCAUACACUCAUUUCUAGGUUCUAUUUCUUUAUAAUUGUAAAACCUAUUCCUAAUAAGAUACAUAUGGAAUGUACACCUUGAAUCUAAUAUCCAGUCUCUAUUAAUUUCAUCUCUAGGUAGUCAUCACAUGCAAACUAUCUAAUUCUGUGUGAACAUUAGCGUAUUUAAUUGUACAUUGCUAUGUUCUUUUUGUUUUUGUUUUGUUUUGCUAUUUUUUUUCCACUCAUAGCAAUCUCUUUUAAAGUGUCCUAACUUACCACAACCAUAGCACAUUUUAUUGCUUUUAUCUUUGGAUUUGGACUUUACCUUAGACUUUUCCUUUCUCUUUUUUUACUUUGAAAGUUAUUAUCCCUUUUCUCACUUCUCACUAUUACAAACAAGAUCUCUUCUCUAAAGUUAGCGUUCGAUUGUUUUCUAACCUCUAACUCUUUUGAUCUCAGGGCAUUUAUUACAAUUUUUUAUUUAAAUUUGUCUAUAGAGUAUUUUAUUACAUUUCUCACAUUCUUAUAGGAAUCUGGCAGAUCAUUCAUCAAAAUAACGGCUAGAUUAUCAUCUUCAAAAUUUUCUCAUUGCGUGCUAAGCUUUUCAUGAUAGUACUAAAGUCACUUUAAUUUACUUCUAAGUCUUUCCAUGGGCCGAUCUUAAAACAAAAGAAAUUUUUCAAAAAGAUAAAUCCUAUUUGUUAAAGUCUUAGUUAGGAAUAAAGUGUCAAGUGUAGUCCAGAAGUUUUGGCUUCAUCUACUUAUCUAACAAUACAAUUAAAUAGAUGCAGGACCAAAGAGCUAUGUACAAUCUCAUUCAUUCCUUCAAUUUCGCUUGGUUUUGCUUUCCAUUCACCAGAAAAUGUUACAGGAUCUUCAAGGGCUUUUGCCAUCUUCUGUUGGACUAAUAUAGCCCUCAUCUUUUUCUUCCAAAUCAGAUUAUCCCCAUAUCCAUUGAAUUGUCAAGUUUGACCCGAACCCAUGACAGAUUUUGUAAAAGUAUGGAUCGAAUUCGAGGUCAUUUGGGAAUCAUAUUCUCAGAAAAAGAGUACCACACACUAAAAAUUAAAGAAACGACAUUAUUGAAAGAUCAAGAUAUGAGAAUUAUCUAAAAAGAUGUACAGAAAAAACAACAGAUAUAACAUUUUAAGAAAUCUUGCACAUACUGAAAAAGGUCUAAGCAAAUAAUCGUUGAAAAAUGGUCCAAACCUCUGAAAGCUAGUAAUGAAGCCAACAAACUCAGUCAAAUUUACAAUGGAAUAGUGAGACAAUAUACAGUAUUAAACACACACUUGAUCCAAAAAAAAGUUUUGAACUAAAAAUCCUAUAUUAUAUGGAUCUUUUCAAGAUCUACACGAAUCUAGAAAAUGGUUUUAAAGAAAUAGAUUUUUAUUAAGAAAAAAAUUUCUCAAACGAACUUACCGAGAAGCCUUAAAAGGCUCUAAUACCAAUUUUGUUGGGAAUUCGCCCUUUAUAAAACGAUUUGAUGAUGAACAUAACAAUGACACUUAAGAACACGGAAUUGCUCACCUAGUUUAGUAAAAGUUGCCUGAUUUGGGUAGCUCAGGAAUCAGCCUGUUCCACAAGGGAAAUGCUAUGUGUACACCAUGAGGUGUACACAACGCAUUACAUCUCUCUCACAUGGAGAGGGGCCCACGAAUAUUUUAUUGUGCGUGGGCCCCCUCCAUGUGAGGGGGGUGUAAUGCUAUGUGUACACUAUUAUGUACACAUAGCAUUUUUCGUUCCACAAUGUGCAAACAACUACCUUAGAGAGAGCAUGAGUAUAUGACCAAAUUUGAACCAGUUUUAGUUCCAAAUCCAAAAGGAUCUUCUAAAACUAAACCCAACAAACAAUCUAUUUUACUAAAACACUCCAGUACAUAACCGCACAAUACUAGCAAUAUUUUUGGCUACAAGAUUACUGUAGUAGGAAGAUUUUACAAGGCUUAUCCCUAAUCUCUCAUUCAAGAAAGAUCAAAAGAACUACAAAAGAAGAAGAAGACGAAAGAGAGAAAACUCUAGAGACUUGAAAGCUAGAAAACCCUCAAUGAUUUUACUGUAUCUGAUAAUUUUGCAUGUAAUUCACAUUCUUAACUAAAUAAGUAAAAAGACUGUCUACAUUACAAUCAACGCCUUCCUGAUCCCUCCACAAUGAUUAUGUCUUGGCUCAACUGCUUGCAAUGCAUUAAUUAUCUGAUCUAUUUUUGAGCUAAAGUUACUAACUGUGUUGAGAUUGUUGUCAGUGUGUCAACCUCGUGUGUAUUUCAAUAAUUUUCUUUCCACCCGAUCUUUUUGUUAUCCACAAUGCGCUGUUGUAUGCUAGAUUUUUCAUGAUUUGAUACAUUUGAUCCGUUAUCGAUUUUGUAAUUGACCCAUCAUAGGCAAAGUCAACAUUAUCCCUGCUUGUCGGGUUCAACCCGAUGAAUUCUUGGAAUCAUUUCUGCAAACCAUGUUGUGGGCAUUGUCUUAAUAGUCCUUUGUAUCUUUCCCAUGCUUCGUAGUUGCACUCUAAAUCCAGUUGAGAGAAUGAUGUUAUGUUUUGGUUUCAUUUCUUAACCCGACACUUCUCUUUGGUAGUAAGUAUUUAUUUAAGAGCUUCUAACUUAGAUUGAUUCAAAUGACGGUGCUAUGAGGGAAAAAGGUGUCAAACCACUCCCUAGCUAAAUCUCUUAAUGUGUGUGAAAGAGCCUAAACUGAUUCGCAUCAGUGAAAACCCCUGGAUAUCAAAUUGUUACACACAUAUCCAAAAAUCUUGAGAUAUGAGCAUUUGGAUUAUUACUGGGUCACCCAAAGAAUUGUAGUGCAUUCUAGAAAAAAAUUAUCACGUUUGUCCUCAAUUGGUAAUUAGCUUACUCAAAUGCUAGAUAAGCUAUGCUAGAUCUACUUUCUGCCAUAGGUGAAACCAUGUAUUCUCCCAUCAAUCUCUCAUUUUUGUUCCCUGCAUUUACAACCAAAUGUACUGCAUUGUCGUUCAACCAAACGUCACUUGAUUCUAUAUGUCUUCUACCAUUGGUUUUUCUUGUUGUUUUUAGUGUACUUCUAUCUAUUCUUUUUUUUUUCUCGACUUGAAUGGUCGUUCAACUUCAACUUCAAAUUCAAAUGGAGUGAGAUCAUCGUGUUUUGAACUUUGCAUAUAAGGUACUAAAAAUAAAGAUGGAAAACAAUGUAAUAUUUUUCUAAUAUGAACUUGAACUAAUAAAGCAAUAAAUAUUCAGAGUAAAAUUAUAAAUAGCGAAAACUAAUUAAAUUCUAGUCUUGACAAUGGCGUUAAAAACUUGAUUGUUAUAUUCCUCCCAAGUGUACAAUAUAGAAAACAAGUAAUAGAGUGAUGAAUAAGAUAUUGUUCCCAUGAGGAUCACAUAUUUAAUAAAUGAUUAAUUACUUUCAACUUUAAUUGAAUAGCCAUUUUUUUAAUUGUUUAAAUUAAUUUAUCUAAUUAAACUAACAAUUAUAGGGAGCAAAUUAUGAGCUUUGUAAAUUUAGAUGAGACGGUUACUAAGACCUCGAAGCCCCUUUAUUAGUCCAUUUCAAUGUAAUCAAAUAACACAACAAAAUGUGCACAUUAUUGUUCGUCAAUGUUCCUAAGUUAAAUAAAAGCAUCUCUCAAUAUCAAUUAAAUACAUAAUCUCAUGUGACCCUCGUAUAUCUCUAUGCAAGAUGCAAACAUGAAAGCGUACAUUAAAUAUACUAUAGUACUUAUAAAUAUCAUGUAAAGUAUAGUGGUAUAUUUCUAUCAUCUAUCGAACUUUACAAUGGAUGUUAUAAAGUGCUUUCUAUCAUAUUGUUUAUCUCUAGAUUAAUAAAUUUCACAAUCAAUCCAAUUAGUGAUCUAGUAAUUGAGAAGCCAUUAAAUUUUAUAACAAUCAUCCAAGAAUAAACAUAUGUUGAGCGUCAAGUUAUUGAAUUUAUAUUAAAACAUCAUAUUAAGGGUUCAUCAAUGUCUACAAAAUCACAAAAAAAUUAUAAUUAAUUGGAAGAACAUAACAUAGAUUAUGGUUAAAUUGAAAGGAAGAAGAUGACUUGAAAUAUUUUGUUUCUACAAUGGAUUCUUCAUGAGUCUCAGAUUGUUUCUUCUCAUCCUUUGUCCAAUGAUCAUGGUUGAAUCUUCAAAGAAUUGAAAUCUUGCAAUUACUUCUUAAUUAUCUCAAAAGAUCUACGAAUUGACCUCUCUUUGAUAAUGAUAAUUGAUGUAUAAUUUGUACCAGUUUUUCAUUUUUCAUUUUUAUGCGUAUUUAUAAAUCUCAGAAAUAGGUAGGAAAAUGCGUCCAAAAUUCUAUUGAAGAUGAAUUCUAAUGAAAUCAUGAAUUUACCUGGAUUUGCCCAGAUUUGGUGUAGGACCCGGGCGAUCUCCUAGGCAUAAUAUUUGUCCUCGUUGUUAUUGCCCAUCCUAACUUGCAUUGCCUAGCCGUAGGUAUUUUUAUCAUAAUUUUCUCUUUCCGUAUCCAAUUAAGGCACUUUAAAUUGUGUUGAAAGCUAACUCAAAAGACUACAAUUUUAUUAGAAAUAGUAUUUUUCUAAGUUGAACGUUUACUAUGUCAAAUAUAAGUCUCAAUUUCUAAUUAAAAAUCUGGAACAUAACUUGUAUAGUUGGAAAUUGAUUUGUAAAAAUAUUUUUAUCUUAUUUCAUUAUUUGUACUCCUAAUUGCUUCCAAUCGACUCAUAACAAUCUUUAAUUACCGUUUUGUGGUCCAAAUGAACUAUGAUAAAGUUAUUGUUAGGUCCUCUAACUUUGAAUUUCUCCAUUUUCGUUUCUUUGUUUCAACUCAAUUUUCAAUCAUUUAAUAAAAAAAAUACCAUAAAUAGGCUAUAAUUAAUCAAAAGAACUUCGAAAUGUUAGUAUUUCAAGGUCCAAAUAAGUGUAUAAAUUACAGUUAUCACUUAGCCUUUUAUUUUACUUCUCUUCCGUCUAUAGAUGGUAUAAGUUCUCUUUUAUCAUAAUUUGUUUUAUUUUUUAUUAAUAAAUCAUUCACUUAGGGUCGUUAAAAAAAUAAAAAAAAAGAGGCCUCUGUUUUGGUCUUCUUAAGAAUCAGAAUGUAGGAACAAUGAUUUAUAUAAAUCCCUUGUUUCAUAUGACUUUAUUCUCAGUUUAAUAUUCUUUCCUGAUUUUGUUUUAUGUUGUAAAGAAUGUUGGUCUUGAAACUACACUUUGGAAUAUUAUAAAGCCUCAUUAGGUCCACACUAUCCAAAUUGCAAAAAAGAACAUAAAGUGAAAAAAGAAGAGGUUUUUGUCAAACAAAACUUGUUUCGUGAAACAUCAAUUUCAUGUUGUUAUACAAUUUCUUUAAAUUAUGAUGGCACCAUUAGAUUUGGUAGUAAUUAAUGGCAUUAGGAAUUUUGUGCUCUAGAUGAAUCAAGAAGAGGAGAAUGUAAUGAAAUUUUUGACUUGUUCGGUCCAAUUUUGUCAUACUAACAUUCUAAAUGCAUCCAAGUUCAUAGAACGUUAUUUUUCAUAAAAUGAAUAGUAUUUACAAUGCCAGGUACAUAAGAUAGGAGCUAUAAAUUGUAACAAUAAAAUAUAAUAUUCCUUUUUUUGCAACUCUAGGACUUCAAUUUUGUUGAGACUCGAACCCCGGUUCUAUUGUGCUCCCAUAUUUUUUAGUUAAAAACGUGUUUCUAAAACAAGCUUUUAUAAAAUGACGAUUUUCACUGGAUGAUGACAUCUGGCAUUUUACUUACCAUUGGAUGAGGCAUUGGUCCUGGUGAUAUAAAUAUGGCUUGGACGGUUCGUUUGGCAAGAGAUUUUCAUUUCUUCUAGCUUUUCAUUUUUGAGAGAGGUUCUAGAGAGUUCUCUUCAUCUCUGUAGCUAGGGUUUUCUGAUUUGCCAUUAGCGUUUGACCUUCUCAUUCGAAGGGAAGAUUUUUGAUGUUUUAGCCUUAGAAUACAUGUGUUUUCUUGAGUGGAAAUCUGUAAGAAUGAAAGGGUUUUUAUGUUUUGAGUUUGUGAAGGAGAUCCGUUGAUUCUUGUGUGAUUUGAGUCAGAUCUGUUGGUUCUUGUAAAGAGAUAAGUCUCUUGUAUUGUAUUCUUGUGUUGACUAAACAUUUUUAACAUUCGUUACCAAUUUUAAGGCAUUUUAGUGGAAUCAAGCUAUAACCAUUCUUGAAUGGAUGCUCAACAAGGGAUUUGGUGUUAAAAGGGUCACCGAACCUUUAAGGUUGUGGUCGAAAAAUUUUCUAUGUUCAAUCUUUUAAUUUCUGCUAGUUUUACUUUCUGUUGUGUUUUUGAUUGAACGUAUCUUGUGAUUAAUAUCGUGUGUCUGGGCCUUUCAACGGUAUCAGAGAAAGAACUGAGAACAAGAUACCUGCAUCUUCGAAGGAAGUUGUUGAUCAAUUGCAGAUCUGAAUUUUUGGAACCACUAUUGAGCAGAACUGAAGAACUCGUGAGUUUUUAUAAAACUCAUUCGGUGAGAUCUCUUAAUUUUGUAAAGUUUACUUUUCAAAAUUUAGGGUUUCUUGAUUUUUCCCUUGAUUUACCAUACACUGUAAUUCCCUGGAGAAUAAUCUUUGUUCAAAGGCUCCUGAGAGGUCUUGGGAAUUUGAGAUAAAUCUAGUACAGGUGUGAAUCUGGAGAAUCUUGAAGGAGAAAUCUCUUAAACAUAGCUUUGUGAUCUUUGAUACUGUGUUCUUCAUUUGAUUUAAUCUGCAUGCUCUUUCUGUAAUUAAAACAUGUAUAAAUUUGUACCAAUAAGGGUAUUAUCGUGAAACAUGAUUGACACUUGCUUGGUUUCUACUACUGUGCUGUGUUCAUCUUGUCUCAUAUUUGUGCAUCUUGUUUGGCAUAAUAAAAUGGCUACUACUAAAUUUGAAGUUGCACAAUUUGAUGGAAAAAUUGAUUUUAAUAUGUGGAGUCAAAGGAUGAAAGCUACCCUAAUGCAAAUGAGAUAUGUUAGUGCCUCAGAUUAUAGUUGGCCUACUGAUAUGAAUCCUGCUAAGAAAAUUGAACUUUAAGCGGUGGCCUGGAGUAUCGUCUUGUACUUAUCUGAAAAUGUGAUAAAAACAAUUGGUGAAACCAAAAUAGCUUCUGAACUGUGGACCAAACUUGAAAAUUAAUAUGUGACUAAGACAAUCCCAAACAAUUUUUAUUUGUUAAAACAACUCUUUUAUUUCAAAAUGGAACCCUUAAUUGAUUUGGACGACAACUUGAAUAGAUUUACUAAGUUGACCUAAGACCUGGCCAACUGUGAUGAAAAACUUUCAAAAGAUCAACUGAUUAUGGUCUUGUUGAAUUCCGUUAGUGAUAAAUAUAGAGACAUUAAUAUUGCCUUAGAGCAUGGUAGGGCAAAACUUACUACUGAUGUAAUCAUAAAUACCCCAAAGAAUAAGCUCUAGAGAUCAAAUUUGAAACUAAGGAGAAUUACAAUGGAAACACUUUGCUAGCAAGGGAAAAAGUUUUAUUAAACCUAAUUAUCACUCUAAGACUUUAUUUGAGAUAAACAUAAAUGGAGUGACGAAGAGUCAGUCUAAAAAUAACACUAAUGGUAAGAAAUGUUUCUAUGGUGGGAAACAGAGUCAUUUUAUUAAAAAUUGUUAUAAAAUGAAAAAUGAAUCAAAAGAAAAGAAACUUUAUGAUGGGAAUGCUGUCUUAGUGUAUAGUAAAUAUAAGACUGAAGAUUGAUUGGUCCUAGUUAAUGUCGAAAAGAAGCUGAAUCAGGAAUGGAUCCUUGAUUCAGGCUAUUCUUUCCACAUAUGCCCUAAUAAGAAUAGUUUUCUCGAAAUUGAAAAAACAACUAGUGGUAAGUUAUAAUGAAUUGUAAUUGACCUGCAAAGUAAGUGGAAUAGGAACUAUUAAGCUGUUGCUUGAAAAUGGCAAGGCCCUAUUUUUGAAAUGAACUAAAUAUGUUCCAGAAUUAGAGAUAAAUUUGGUGUCUCUGGGCAUGUUAGAUGAUAUGGAGUUUGACAUUAAACUGGAUCAAGGACACAUUAAAAUUCUUAGGGGCAAUGAGUUAAUCAUUAGGACCCCUAAGAGACAUGGCCUUUAUUUUCUUAAAGCAAAACCUUUACUUGGCUUGACUGCUAUUACUUUGACUGAAAAUUUUUCCAUUGCAAAAUUAUGGCAUGAAAGAUGUGGUCACAUUGGCAAGAAAAGUUUAAAAGCUAUACAAAAUAAAAGAGUUUUUGGAAAUCAAAAUCUUGGUGAUAUUGGUCCUAGUGAACAAUGUGUGAUAGAUAAACAAGUUAAGCUUAAUUUUUCACCUGGAAUUCAUAAAUCCAAACAAAUAUUUGAGUACUUGCAUGCCAAUUUGUGGGGUCCAGCAUCUCUGUGUACUCUAUCUAGUUCCAAAUAUUAUCUUUUGAUCAUUGAUGACUUUUCAAGAAAAAUCUGAGUUUUCUUAUUAAAAUCUAAAGAUGAGACUUUUUUUUUUUCAAAUAUUGAAAAAUACAAUUUGAAAACCAAACUGAUCAUAAGAUUAAGAUUUUGAGAAAUGAUAAUGGUUUGGAGUUCUCCAAUUAUAAAUUCAAUAAUUUUUGUAAAGAGCAUGGCAUAUUUAGACAUAGGAACCUUAUUUAUACCCCUCAACAAAAUGGCAUAGCUAAGAGAAUGAAUAGAAAUUUGUUAAACAAGGUAAGAUGCAUGCUUUUGAAUUCAGGUUUACCUAAAUUAUUUUGAGAUAAUUUGUAAAUACAGCUGCAUAUUUUGUGAAUAGAACUCCCACUAGUGCCCUUAAUUUUGAUGUUCUUGAAGCUAUAUGGUCUAAAAAUCCUGUUGAUUAUUCUCACCUAAAAAGUUUUGGAUGUGCUGCAUAUGCCCAGCAAAAUAUUGAAAAGUUAGAACCUAGAUCACUUAAGCCCUUGUUUGAGCCACAUUAUUAGAAUGAAAAUGCAUUUUUGAAUAGUGUAUUGAUGGUAAAUGUAUGAUUAAAAAAUAAGGAAAAGUUUUAAAUUUAUGUGUAAUACUAUUUUAUUGAAAAAUCAGUGGUUGAAAUGAUAUCAAAUCACUAUUGAAAAAUGUAUUUUUUUGAAAAAAUGUGGCACAAAUAGGGCCUAAAUGUGUUUUCUUGGGUUAUGUUGAAAAUGUAAAAGGGUACAGUUUAUUGGUUAAAAGUGAACGAGGAUAUAAGUUAAUUGUUAGAAGGGAUGUUGUUUUUAAUAAUUCUAUUAUGCCUUGUUUAGAGGGAAAAGAAAAUAAUUUGACUAGAGAAGAGGUUCAAAUCGAGGUGGAGUCUCCUCAUAGUGAGAGAGAAGCCCCUACGCCAGUUAUAACUGAAACUGGUAUUGUUGAAAAUGACAAUUUUAUUGAAGUUGAAAAUGAUCUAGUCAUUAAUACUAAUAAUGAGACUGAUCUAUCUACUUUUCUCAUCGAUGAAUAUCAACCCACUAGAGAUAGGAAAAGAAGGCAAAUUGAACCACCUGCUAGAUUUGAUUGUUAUGACUUUGUUUCAUUGUUUACCUAUCAAGAACAAUUUGAAAAUGAGCCAAGCUCCUAUGAUGAUGCCAUAAAUGUGUUUACCUAUCAAGAUGAAUUAGUUGAAAAGCCUAAGGGUCAAAAACUUAUUGAUUGCAAGUGAAUUUGUAAAAUAAGAGAAGGGGAAGGGAAAAAUAAAAAUGUGAGAUAUAAGACUAAACUUGUAGCCAAAGAUUUUACACAAAACGAAGGUUUAGACUAUAAUGAAAUUUUUUCCCCUAUUGUCAAAUACACCACUAUUAGAUGUAUACUUGCUUUAGUUGCUCAAUUUAGUUGGGAACUUGAUCAGUUAGAUGUAGAAACUACCUUUCUUUAUGGUGAUUUAGAAGACAGAAUUUAUAUGAGACAACCUACUGGUUUUAUAAAAGGAAAUCCUAAAAAUAUUGUUUGUCUUUUAAAGAAAUCACUGUAUGGUUUAAAACAAGCUUCUAGACAGUGGUACAAAAAAUUUGACUCUUUUGUUUUAAAAAUUGGUUUUCAAAGAAGCAACUAUGAUAAAUGUCUAUAUUGUAAAGCUAAAGGAGGUAAAAGUUCUCGUUAUUUAGUACUUUAUGUGGAUGAUAUGUUAUUUGCGACCUGUGAUAAAUCUGAAAUUGAAUAUAUCAAACAAAAACUUAAAUCUGAGUUUAAUAUGAAAGGCCUUGGGGCUGCCAAAAAAGUUCUUGGUAUGCAGAUUUAUAGAAAUAAAUAGAAAGACAUGUUAUUUUUAAUACAACAUGAUUAUGUGGUUAUAAUCUUGAAAAAAGUUUAACAUGUUUGAUUGUAAACCUGUAAAUUUGCCUCUUGCUAACUAUUUUAAAUUGACAUCUAAGUUCUUUCCCAAAAAUGAUGAAGAAUUUGAUAGAAUGUCAAAAUUACCUUAUGUUAAUGUAAUUGGAUCUGUUAUGUAUUUCAUGGUGUGUACCAGACCUAAUCUUAAUUUUAGUAUUCCCAUACUUACUAGGUUUAUGAGUAAUCCUAGGGAAGAACAUAGGAAUGCUUUAAAUGGUUUUUAAAAUACUUGAAGGAUACAUCAAAUUUGGGUCUAAUGUUUAGAAUGAACAAAGAUGGGGUAAAUUUAAAGGGGUUCAUUGAUUCUUACUCUGCUGGAAAUAGGAAAUCAACUUCAUCCAACUUCGUCAGUUCAUGUGGUGCUGUAAUCAGUUGAAAAUCUCAAUUGCAAAAGAAUAUGGCCCUAUCCUCAACUGAAGCAGAAUACAUUGUUGCUUCUGAUGCAUUUAAAGAGGGUAUCUGGUUAAGUGGAUUGCUAAAGGAACUUAGUUUUUUUAUUUUUUAUUUUUUUUAUUUUAUGAAAAUGCAAUUCUGUAUUCUGAUAACUAAAGUGCCAUACACUUAAUUAAAAACCCCAUAUUUAAUGAUAGGACUAAACAUAUAGAUAUUAAGUAUCACUUUAUUAAAGAUGUAAUUUCAAAAGGAAUUUUGAAAAUUGGCAAAGUAGCUACUCAAUAUAAGCCUUCUGAUAUGGGAACAAAGAUAAUACCUUUAAACAAAUUUCAGAACUAUUUGAAGAUAUUAUCAAUUGAUACUUUGUGAUGUGUUAUAGGUACAUGGAGCGAAUGAAAUGAAAGAAUGUAAUAUGCUCAUUGCUGCAUUAUGGCCUGAAUACUGUGAUAGUAAGAUGGAGAUUGUUGAGACUUGAACCCUAGUUCUAUUGUGCUCCCAUAUUUUUUAGAUAAAAAUGCAUUUCUAAAACAUGCUUUUAUAAAAUGACGGUUUUCACUAGAUGAUGACGUUAACAUUUUACUUACCAUUGGAUGAGGCAUUGGUCAUGGUGAUAUAAAUAUGGCUUGGACGGUUCGUUUGGCAAGAGAUUUUCAUUUCUUAUGGCUAUUCAUUUUUGAGAGAGGUUCGAGAGAGUUCUCUUUGUCUCUGUGGCUAGGGUUUUCUAAUCUGUCAUUACAGUUUGAACUUCUCAUUCGAAGUGAUGAUUUUUGAUGUUUUAGCCUUAGAAUACAUGUGUUUUCUUGAGUAAAAUCUGUAAGAAUAAGAGGGUUCUUAUGUUUUGAGUUCGUGAAGGAGAUCUGUUGAUUUUUGUGUGAUUCGAAUCAGAUCUGUUGGUUUCUUGUGAAGAAAUAAGUCACCUGUACUGUAUUCUUGUGUUGGCUAAAUAUUUGUAACCUUUGUUGCCAAUUUUAAGGCAUUUUAUUAAAUCAAGCUAUGUCCAUUCUUGAAUGGAUGCUCAACAGGGGAUUUGGAGUUAAAAGGGUCACUGAACCUCUAGGGCUACAGUCGAAAAAUCUUCCUUGUUCAGUCUUUUAAUUUUUGCAAGUUUUACUUUCUAUUGCGUUAUUGAUUAAAUGUAUCUUGUGAUUAAUAUUGUGUGUCUGGGCCUUUCAAUUUUUACCUUUUGAGGUUGCUAUAAUCCCAAGCAUCAAGUGAAGGAGAUGCUUAAGAUUAAUUACCACUCUAUUUAGCAUCUUAGAAUUACCAAAUGUCCUAUCUUAGUGAUGUGAACCCGGAUACUUAGAUUGCUAUUGAACCCACAAAAGAAUGACACAAACCCCAAGAAAGCUAGAGAAUCAAAGUUUAUGGAAUUUGACCCAAAAAUUAGUGAACCAAACAACCAAUACAAUCACAUGAAUAUAUUAAUCUUUUGAUUACAGAAUUAAAGAAAUCAAACUCGGAAUUUAAAGAUUGACCUGAAGAAUUAAAUGAACCAGAAAUCAAAGUAAUUACUAGAAUACCUUGACCCCGUGAUUGCACAACCCACGAAUCACACUUUAAUUGGUAAAGGCCGCUAGAAAUUAUCCCGAUAAAUUCAAUAAAUUGUUCACGAAGAAAAAGAAGGAAGCAACAUUGCCUCUGAUUAAUUCAAUAUCACAAAAGUCUUGUCCUACGAUGAAGAAAUAAAUUCCCUAUUUAUACUAGAAACAAUUAAACCUUAGAUAAUAAUUUAAAAUGGAAUAAAACUCUAAAAAUCCUAUUUUAAAAAAGUAAACACGUCCAAAUGAUGUUAAAUAUAUCAAAAGGUACGAACUCUAACUCUAAAAAUCCUAUUUUAAAAAAGUAAACACGUCCAAAUGAUGUUAAAUAUAUCAAAAGGUACGAACUCUAAUUAUAUAAGGUAACUGCCCAAAAAUUUGGAAUUCCCGUCCAAACAUGUCUCUAUGCGAAUCACAUCAUUCCCUCUCUUCAAGAGAAUUCGACCUCAAAUUCAAACCUUGAUCUUCCUUCCAACAUGAGUUGAAUUUCUACAAAUUAGUGGCGCAUCCGAGAUCAUAUCAGACCCUCCCUCUUCGAGAGGAUUCGUCCUUGAAUUCGCACCUGCGUCAAAUACGGUGCUCCUUCCAUUGGCUUGACCUUUAUCCAAACCUUGCUUGGGAAUUUGAUACUCCGCCAAAUGGUUGUUGAAUGUUCCUUCAAUGCCUAUAAUAUCCUCCAAUGGAAAUGCAUCAAUUGGAUAUUCAAAUGGGAGAUAUUCCUUUGGCAAAAUCCUCGUGCAAUAAAAUUUCAUAAUCCUGCAACAAAGAACUAUACAAACUGGGGAGGGAUAUGCUAGCUUUCACCAAAUCAUUUCCACUACCAAGCUCAACCUUCUUUGCAAACAAGCUCUCCUUUAGUUUGUCUUUCAGUUUCUCCUCUUCUCUUUUCGACCUCAACUGAUCAUCAGACACUUGUUGUGGUGUCAAAGGUACAAGUGUAAUGGUUUUUCCAUCCAUGUCAAAACUGUACCAAUUUAUAGACCCAUCAUGCUUCACCUUCCUAUCGUAUUGCCAAGGCCUACCUAAUAAUAUAUGCCCUGCAUCCAUAGGCACAACAUCACACAACACUUCAUCCUUAUACCACCCAAUUGACAAAUUGACCAAUACCCUCCCAUUGACAUUAACCUCCCUCGUUCAUCUAACCACUACAAUAUAUACGGUUUAGGGUGCUUUGUCAUCUCCAAUCCUAAUUUCUUAACAAGUGUAUAGCCAGCUAUAUUAGUGCAACUACGUCCAUUGAUAAUCAAAUUGCAUACCUUAUUAUUGACGUGGCACCAUGUAUGGAGGAUUUUCUCCCGCUGCUCCUCUCCUUCAACCUUGAUUUGUGCGUUGAGUGCACACAUCAAGACAAGAGCUUCCCCUUCAACCAGAUAUUUCACUACGUCACCAUCACUAACAUCUUCUAACUUGGGCAUUCCAUCUUUAUCACUAUCAUUCACCACUUCCCCACUGUCCUUCAAGAUCAUGACUCGUUUAUCUGGACACUAAGAAGCAAUGUAUCCCGUUCCCAAGCACUUGAACACUUGAUGUCCCGACUCCUGGAUUGCUGUGGUUCUGCCUUCGAUGCAACCUUGCAAGCAUUGUCAUCCUUUUCCCUAGGUGGCUCAAUUUUAUUGUUGACAUCACCCCCAUCAACUUUCUCUUCAUCCCACCUAGACCUCCAAGAUGAAUUAGGCCCCUGUUGAUUCCUAGCUCCCAUUUUCUCUUCAACUGCCUAUCAACCUUCAUUGCCACAUGCAGCAUAUCCUUCGAUUCCACAUAAUGUUGCAAUUCAACAACAUUGACAAUGUCCCUGUUCAAUCCAUUCAAAAACUUUGCCAUGGUGACUUCUCGGUCCUCCUACACAUUAGCCCAAAUCCUCAAAAUUUCAAUCUCUUUGUGGUAGUCCUCCACACUCCUAGAACCCUAAUACAAACCCUGCAACCUUUGAUGGAGUUCCUUAUAAUAAUGACCAGUUACAAAUCUCUUCCUCAUAACCGCCUUCAACUCAUCCCACGUACUUAUCGGUCUCUCCAUAUUCCUCCGUCGUGAAGUGACUACUGGAUCCCACCUAGUGAUGGCGUAAUCAGUGAACUCCAAGACUGCAACUUUCACUUUCUUUGCCUCCGAAUAGUUAUGGCACUCAAAUAUUAAUUCUACCUUCUUCUCCUAUUCUAGGAAUGCUUCUGGAUCACUCCUACCUCGAAAUGUCGGAAUGGACAUUUUUAUGCUACCCAUACCUUCAUUAACAUCACCUGCAGCAUUGUUUCUAUCUCUUCGUUCAAACCUACUACCUCUAUUCCUCAACCGUCCAAUCUCUACUUAUUCAAAUUUAUUAUCAUCCUAUUCACUGUCAUGCCCAUAUUCAUUUUACACAUCCACCCUAGGCUCUCGUCUAGCCCGUUGACUCCGGCUAAGGUUUGUAGCCAUUGCGUCAAGCCUGUACAACCUAUUUUUCAUAUUUAUCACCAUUCGCUCAAACCACUGCACUAAGUCAUCUUGCAUAUUUUGAUUAUCGUUUAAGCUAGAAUUUGAUCAUUUCCUAUCAGACAUUGCUCAUAAUUUUCUAUCUCACCAAAGUUCACUCUGGAAUCACUCAAUAUUAGGCUUUUAGCUUCAAUUGGACUCAACACUGGAUCUUUUACCACUCAAGUUUCGAAUCAAUGUCCAAAGGACAAUUUUCGAACUCAACCAGAAUGAUUCUUGUGAAAUUCCAAUUGAAUUGUGCAUAUUCAAGAUUAGAAAGGAAAAUGAACUAAAGUAUUAAACAGAACUUUUGGAAGGACUCAAAAUUUUUUAGUGAACAGUACAGUACAGACUGUACAGUAUGGAUGAACAGUAACAAUAAUUUUUUUUUUUUGAAAAACACAAAACAAUUAGACUACUAAAAACUUUUAGAUCUAGGACUCAAAUUUAAUGGGAAACAUGAAGAACAAGGAAGAAAACCUCAAGCAAAGACUCCAAAAAAAAAAAAAAAAAAAGGGAUAAAACUUUGAUUCUGAUGUCUAAGCUCUGAUUCCACUUGAUAUAAAUCUGGAUAGCUAGAUCGCUAUUUAACUCACAAAAGAAUGACACAAACCUCAAGAAAGCUAGAGAAAUAAAAGUUUAAGGAAUUUGACCCAAAAAUUAGCGAACCAAACUACCAAUACAAUCACACAUAUAUAUUAACAUUUUAAUUACACAAUUAAAGAAAUCAAACCCGAACUUUAAAGAUUGACCUGAAGAAUUAAAUGAACUAGACACCAAAGCAACUAUUAGAAUACCUCGAUCCCAUUAUUGCACAACCCACGAAUCACACUUUGAUUAAUGAACACUACGAGAAAUUAUCCUGAUAAAUUCGAUAAAUUGUUCGCGAAGAACAAAGAAGGAAGCAACCUUGCCUCUGAUUAAUUCAAUAUCAAAAGUCUUGUCCUACAAUGAAGAAAUAAAUUCCUUAUUUAUACUAGAAACUAUUAAACCCUAGAUAAUAAUUUAAAUCCUAAUAAAUAAUUUUUUUAUAUUAUUUACAAAUAAAAAAAUAAGAAAUUAUUUUUAAAAAAUCAAUAAAUUCUAAAAAAUAAUAAAUUAAAUAUUAAAAAUAUAAAAUCAAAAUAUAAAAAGUAAAAUAAAAAUAGUUGAAACUCUUAAUGAUUAUUUAUGUAAUAAUUCUAAAAAGUAUAUUUAAAUGAACGCAUAUAGAAUUUUUUAAAUCCUCGUUAGUAAUUUUUAUUUUUAUUUUUAUUUCCAAUAUUUUAAACUCAAUUUAUUAUUUGAUAACACAGUAACAUAAACUUGUUCUAUUUUUACUAAAUAAUCAGAUUUCAAGGAAUAAAAUGUCAUAAAACAAUUUUUAAAAAUUUAAAUCUAAAUGUGUUUCCUAAUUUUUUGUUCUAAGAAAUAAUUUUUCAAGAUGAAAAACUAAAUGAAUUUUUAGCAAUCUUAAAAUAGACACUCAAAGCAUAAAACUAAAAAUAAACUCAAAAUUGAAUCACAAAUUAAACAGAUCCUUAACCUUUGCAAAUGUAAGAUUGACGAUGCUAUAAAUGCUAGAUCCCCAUUAGGUGUUUCAUUUUUCUCAAAUAAAAUAAAAUAAAAUAAAAUAAAAAUUCUUCAUAGAGAAUGUGCUACACUUUAUCGUUUAAAACUUAGCUCCUAUUUGGUAACCAUUCUUUAAAUUUUUUUUUUAAAAUUUAAUACUCAUUUUUAACCACACAUUCUCACAGUAAAAUAUCUUCAUAUAAAUCCAUUUUUUUUAACCACACAUUCUUCAAAAAAUUAUUAUUCAAUUUAUUUUUUAUUUUUUAUUUUAUAGAAAGACUGGGCUUAAAAAUGUUGGAGAUUAACAUGUCCUUUCACUCAAAUUGGAUUCACUUUUUUUUUUUUUUUUUUUUUUAAAGAUCAAACGCAAUUUUAUCAUAAUUAUAAGUAUGAAUGUGAAGUUAUGUUAUCUAAGUGUUUUAAAUAUUUGAGAACUUUUAGGAGAAUUUGUGAUUUAAAAGUAGAGAAAUAUUUUGAGUUUAUAAAUAGAAUAUGUUAUUCUAUUAAUGUGUGAUUUAAAAUUAGUAUGUAAAAGGAAAAAAAAAAAAAGAAGAUUUUUUCAAAUAAUGACCAUUAAUUAGGAACUAAAUCAACAAAAAUAUGUGGCCAAUAGAAAUGAUGACAUAACAUGAAAGUCAUCUCACUAAACAUAAAAGCUUAUUGUUAGUCUAAGUGUUAGUUCCAAAAUGAGCUCUAAUAAAGAAAUGAACAAGAUAAAAAGAAAGCUUGUCUAAUGAGAUGCUUAACAACAAAUUAUACAUAUCACGCCAGUUAAAAAAAGAAAAGAAAAGAUAAAGUGCCAACUAUGAUUGAAAGUUCAGCAACUAAAUGGAAAAAUAUUUUAAUUGCAAUAAAGUUCUUACUAUUUUUCAAUGUAGUAAUAUUCCCAACUUUUUGUUUUUGUUUUUUUAUUUUUUGUUUUUUAUUUUUUUUAAAAUUUUACAUCGCAUUCUUAUUGUCAAUCUUCAAUCAAUUAGAAAAUCUUGUCAUUGAUGCCGAUUUCGUCUAAAUAUCAUUAGGAAGGUCCAUGAAAGAUAUUUGCCCCUCAUACUUUUAAUUAGGUUAAAAUGAAAAUACAAAAGUUUUAUAAGAUAUAUUAGCAAUGGAACCGUAAUCAACAAAAAAAUAAAAUAAAAUAAAAUAAAAUAGAAUAAAAAUUAAUUUAAGGCUACUGAUAAUAAUGCAUUGAAAAAGAAUAACAUGACUGCAAUAGUGAGCAAAUAUUUAAGACCUCUACUGCACUAAAGGGUUGGUGAAACAAACCAUAACUGUGGCAUUAUAAUAAAUUGGGCUGGCUAACAGUGUAUUUAUUUUAACACCACAAACAACAGUCCUUCCAAGACCAAAUUUUAUUGUUAGAUGCGCAUUCCUGCAGACGUAAAUUCACAAGUUAGCGUUUUAACAAUUUCCAUAAGUACCUUAGUGCAUGCAAGAGAUCAUUUUUGAGUACAGAAUUGUGAAAACGUAGUUCAGCCAAGUGUUGACACAUAAAAAUUCAGCCCAAAUCGAACGGCCCAAGGAAUGAAGCCCAAUUGGAGGAUCCCCAAAUCAGAUAGCCCAAAGAACGAAGUCCAAUCAAACAAUUCAAGAUGAAGGCUCAAAUAGAGAGGUCCAAGAACGCGGUAACGCCAUCGCCCAAGUUUGCAAGUCGCCUAGAAUCUGAGCGAAUGGAGUGCCAUGUAGUCACCCAGAGCUGUUACUCUAUUCUCACCCAAACCUUCAAGUCGCCCAAAGCCUUAACAAACAUAAAUAGUUGUGGUUAUCAAGAAGUGCAGUUAUCAAAACAGUUAUUAAUGCAGCCCUAUCACGUUCCACGAUUCAAGGAAUUCAAUCGAAAGCGGUUGAACGACGAAGAGUAAUGACAGUAGUUAAAAAAGGCAAUUUUCAUGACAAGUUGGUCAUUACGAGGAAAGUGGGUAGUUGUAGAACGAUCAAGCGGUUUUUAGGCGGUUGAUCACAAAGAGAUCGUCCAUGAACAUGUAAUUUUAAUUUCCUUAGCUUAGACUUAAACACUUUUUUCAGUAACUCGUGUGCUUGCGCCCCUUAGAGGCACUUUGUUUUUAAUUUCCAAUUGUAAAGUUAUCGCCAAUAAAAGAACACCUCCCUUUUUGGGACUUUGUCUCAAGAGGUUUGUCCCUCACACAAUCGUCUGAUCCCUUUUUAAUUGUUAGCGACUAACCCGCGCGAAACAAUUUGGCACGCCCGGUGGGACAGUGGUGUUUGGUGUUGAAAGUACGAAAGAUGAAACAAUAUGCCUCAGAGAUUCGAUAAGGAAGCAGCAAGUCAGGGAGAAAUCCAGUCUAUGAUCGAGCGAUAUGAGGAGCAGCAUGCCUCUCAACGAACAGAUGGACAGAAUCAGAGCAGUAACGUCGUUACGAACCAAUGACGGAGCUGAGUCCUCGAACCAUGCGUGCAUUACUUGGAGAACUCACACAAGACGUUGUUGAACAGGUAAAUCUUCGAAGUAUUCAUGCAUUUGGUGUUAAUGCAGGGAAUUUUUUUGGUUUUUUAGUACACAAGAGAGGGAUUGAACUUGAUAAAAAUAAAGCGAAGGCCAUUUUAGAGGCCAAACCACCUAGCAACAAAAAAGAAUUGCAAAGGUUUCUAGGCCAAGUAAACUUUUUAAGACGCUUUAUUUCUAACUGUGCAGGGCGAACUAAAGUCUUUUCGCCGCUUUUAAAGCUGAAAAAUCAGGACGAAUUCGUCUGGAAAAAAGAACAUCAAAAGGCUUUUGAGAGCCUGAAGACAUAUUUAUCAAGUCCACCAGUGUUGGUGUCACCAAUCCAAGGACGACCAAUGAAAGUGUAUGUAUCGGCUGAAAAAGAAUCAAUAGCUGGAAUGGUCGCAUAGGAAGACCAAUUUGGUUAAGAAAUGGCAAUUUACUACUUAAGUAGACUGUUAACGAAAUGCGAAUGUAAUUACUCUGCUAUCGAAAAAUUAUGUCUGGCAUUGUAUUUCACAUGUACAAAAUUAAGGGCUUAUUUACGGCCCGUAACCGUUUAUUUAAUUUCUAAAGUAAAUUUAAUUAAGUAUAUGUUCUUGCGCCCUAUUUUACACCAAAGGGUAGGCCUUUGGACACUAGCUUUAUCAGAAUUCGAGAUACAACAUAUACCUCAAAAGGCAGUCAAAAAUUAGGCUUUGGCUAAUUUUCUAGCUGAUCAUCCAUGCCUUGACAUGCCUGAAGAAAUUGAACUAGAAAUCAAUUCGUUCGAGUUAAAACCUUGGGUGUUGUAUUUCGAUGGGUCAAAAACCUCUAAAGUUGCAGGAGUAGGAGUAGCAUUGAUUAAUCUUUUAGGGAUUUGCUACAAGUUCGCAUUUACUUUAGACAGAAUGUGCACCAACAAUCAGGCCGAAUAUGAAGCCUUAAUUGUAGGUCUAGAACUAGUGAUAAAUAUGGGAGUAAGAAAUGUGAUCGUUAGGGGCGAUUCUCAAUUUGUAAUCCACCAAUUGAUUGGUGAUUUUAAAUGCCAAAGUGACUCCAUUAUAAGUCAAUAUGAGAUCGCCCAAGAAUUGUUGGAAGAAUUCGACCAAGUAGAACUUCAAUGCGUUAAUAGGAUAUAUAAUGACGUGGCAAAUGAGUUAGCCCAAAUGGCCUCAGGAUACUCAAAGGUUUUGAAUUGGAAGUUUACUUGUGAGUAUGGAAUCAUAUUGCCCGUGACUCAAAGAAGGGCGAGAAAGAUUGAACUUCACUGCAUACAAGAUGGAGAUGUAAUGGAUUGAAGAACAGAUAUUAAAAGGUUCCUUAAGGAACCUAAUGGAGGAAUUAGUAGGAAAAUGAAGCUGUGUUUGCUGAACUAUACACUAAUAGAUGAAGAGUUGUUUAAGAAACGCUCUGAUGGUGUAUUACUAAAGUGUGUAAGUUUGCAAGAAGCCAAGACGAUCAUAGCUGAGGUGCACGAAAGGAUAUGUGGAGCUCAUCAAGCUGGCCAAAGGAUGAGAUGGUUAAUUAUUAGGAGUGGAUAUUUUUGGCCAAAGAUGGGAGGAUUAUGCUUUCAGUAUGCAAAGAGUUGUUUAGCAUGCCAAAAGCAUGGUCCAAUACAAAGGGCGCCAGCACGAGAGAUGGCACCUAUUAUUAAACCUUGGCCAUUCAAGGGUUGGGCGAUAGACCUGAUAGGGAAAAUUUAUCCCCCAUCGUCCAAGCAACAUACUUUUGUUAUAGUUGCAACCGACUAUUUCACCAAAUGGGUAGAAGCGGUACCUUUCAAAGAGAUCAUCCAGAAAAACGUUAUAGAGUUUAUCCAUGAUCACAUCAUUUAUAGGUUUGGAAUUCCACAAAUGUUAAUGGUAGAUCACGGAACAUCUUUGAAUGGGGAUCAAGUGAACAAAUUUUUGAGCGAGUUUGGGGUUAAAUUAGUAAACUCCACACCAUACUACACUCAAUCCAACGGACAAGCGGAAUCUUCUAAUAAGAUUCUAAAAAAUAUCAUCAGAAAGAUGAUAGAUGAAAAUACCAGAAAUUGGCAAGAAUGUCUGAACAAAGCCUUAUGGGCUUAUAGAACAUCACCUCGAUCAAGUACCAAAGUUACUCUUUUCCAACUUGUUUAUGGGCAGGAGGCCAUUUUGCCUAUGGAAAUCAACGUGCAAUCGAUUAGAGUGUGCUUGCAACAUAAGUUGAAAGGUGAUGAGUAUGCCGAAUCACUAGUUCAAAAUUUAUUGGGGUUAGACUAAUUAAAGUUGGACGUCUUAGAUAGAUUGCAAGUUCAAAAAUAAAGAAUGGCUAAGUUUUAUAAUAAAAAAGUCAUAGCCAAGUCGUUCAGCUUGGGUGAACUAGUUUGGAAGACGAUACUCCCUUUGGAUAGCAAGGAUCCAAAGUACAGGGAGUGGUCGCCCAAUUGGGAAGGACCAUACAAAAUAAACAAUGUGUUGCCCAAUGGAGCGUAUCACUUGGAAGAUUUAGAUGGCACCAAGCACGUGAGAUUCAUUAACGGCAAAUAUUUGAAAAAAUAUGUUCAUUCUUUAUGGGAAUGUGAACAGAUAAAAGAAUAAUCAAAAUAUGUUGAACGAUUAAGGAUAACAAGGUCAGAGCGAAAUACGUUCAAAUAAAGUCCUUUAUUAUCAAACGUUCAUUACAAAGAUGCGAAAAUACAAAUAAUGGAUGCUCUGCAAACUACAAUCGAAAGUAAACUAAUCUCCCGGUUGAUCGAUGAGUAAAAGGGUGGACUAACCUCACACCGCCUUCCUAAAUGCAUCGCUGCAAUGGUGGGAUCGUCGAGUAAGAGGGUGGAUUGGCCUCACCACUUUCCUAAAUGCAUCGCUGCAAUGGCUGGCAAAGAGGCUGAGAAGCACUCUCAGCAAGCAAGGUGACCCACAAGCAUCCCAAAAAUUGCCUUCUAUCAUCGACUCCUUGUAAAGGUCAAAGAGAUGAUGGGAAGAACUUUGAUGGUAAAAACUUUGCUGUCGGCCAAAAAAUAUUUCCUAUACCUCCCACACCAAGGGUGACAUCAAGGCAAAUAGUAAAAUAGGCGGACUAAACAGUCCAUUUUCGGAUCGGAUUGAUUGUCAAGGUGCCAAACAAUGGCAGCAUAUUGGUUUCGAAGAAGAAAAUGAAGAUGAAGAUGGAAGAUGGAAAGUGCGAAACAUACGUACAUUUAUAGGGGGUGGAGAUGAAGAGACAGAAUAUGAACAGCCACAUUCUGCCUAGUAAGUGAAAUUAAGUAGCCCAAAGUCUUGGGAAAAUAAGUGGAAAUGUCAAAAGAAAAUAUGCAAGAUUUUUUAGCACAAAGCAGUUAAAUGCUUGAAGAAUUGACGAUUAAAAAACAAAUGUCCAAUAAAUGCACAAGAAGUUAACAUAUAUGUUCAUUAAUGAUGAACAAAGUUACAAAGGGAAAAUCAAAUUACAAAAGAAAAAGGCAUCAUAUGUCUUAAUUACAGUCACCCCACACUGAACGAAUUCGUUCCCUAAGUUUUUCCCAAUCCUCGUUCUGCCGAGAGGAAGUGAUGUUCAAUUCGGACACGACAUCAUCAUCAACUUCUAACUUCUUGUACUGUUCAACCAAGAACUUAGUUCGCUCAAUUCCCUGGGAGGCGUUGCGCUUUUUAGCAGCCAUUCUCGCCUUGCAGUCAUCCAUUUUGGCUUGAAGUUCCUUCAUCUGAGCAACCAAAUUAACCAUCAAAGAGUCUUCAACCAUGACUUCGGAAGAGAUUUCUUUCAACUCAUCCUCAACCUUGUUGAUCUCCAUAUGCAAAGACUCUUUCUCAGAUACGGCUCGAAGAUAUUGAGUACUUUUGGCCUUUAGUUCAGCAUUCUUGGCCAGCAAAGAAAGGACCUCGGAGUGGAUGACCUUCAACGUCGCUUUAAAAUUGGCAGAAAGAUUGAGCGACGAAAGCGUCAGUGCUUGCUCCAACUUCGCAUUCAAAUGCUCAAGUUUAUCCUUGUGUCUGGCAGCACUAGCGCUACCAAUGUUCAUAUCCAUGAAGGAUACGUACUCAAAUAUCGACUGCUUGAGAAACUUCAAAUCUUCCUCUGAAGAAGCAGCAGGACGAUCAGAUGGAGCAGGGCGAGAUGUCUUGACUUGCCCCCGGGAAGCGAACAAGUCUUGGAUAGAACGCACAAUCUUGUCAGCAUCCUGCAAAGAAAAUUGCCAAUAUUAAAGAUUCUCACUACAACAAACAAGAUAGAAAUAAAAGUGAAGCAAAGAUUACCUCAUCAACAAUCGUGGAAGAUGGCAUGUCCUCAGCCAAGUCUGCCACCAAUGACUUCUCCAUUCGUGAGGAGUUCCCCUUGUUUGAGCGAGAAGAUGUUGCCACAACGGGUAGACUCAUAGGAGUAUCUGCAAAACUCAAGAGCAACAAAUCAGAAACCAAUAGCACAAGCAAAGGUAAGGCAUCAAAAAAUUGAAUUACCUUCUGCUUCGAUGUUUGGGGGGUUGACGCCCUGGGAAGGAGGUGGCUCAUCCAUGGGUUGUGAUGAUGAUUCUGGGACUGAAGAUUUCUCUUUAAGCAUAGUCCCCUCAUCAACUGGUUUGGAUGAAGCAGCCUCCGCGGAGGAUGAUGGAGCAGGAGCUGUCGAUGCCAAAGCCUUUGAAGGAGAGGCUGAACUUUUCUGAGAAGUCCAAAAAAUCAUCAGCACACAGAAAAGUUUCAAGUAUGGAAAAGUAUGCUUGUGAGUAAACCAAUUUAAUUACCUUCCUCCUGACGAUAAGAGGGAUAUCAUCAUCAUCAUCAUCAACAUCAUCCUCCAGAAUGGGAGAUGCUGAGGCUGGCCGUUUGCGGCUUCGGGCACUCUUGGCUUUAGUAGGCUUGGCAGGGAGCGAAGAAGAUGGACGAGCAGACUGUUUAGCUCGACGAGGAGGAGAAGGACUUCGGAUGGACAAAGGAGUAACUUAAAAACAGGAGGAGGGAAAGAAAUGCUCGGCUGGUCUAAUGAAUGAAAGGCACGAUUGGCAUCAGCCGCAAAUAAUCUGCGCUUCACUGACGGCCAGAGCUGUUCAAAAAGAGGAUGGAUGGCGUGGCUAGAAUUGAAGGGGGCUAAUGAAAAAUAGUUGGUUAAAAGAAGAUUGCGAGCAUUUAUAGCCUCUGCCUUCCUCUUAUUAAUAAUAUGAAAAUGGUCAAUUAAGUUCCUUGAAUAGCAAGGAGGAACAGGUCAAGUUUGACCGAAACCAAGCUGGCGAGCAAAAAAUUGGGGAGCAUAAAUCUCUACCCCUGCCUUGGCAUUGGUCCCAGUUAAAAUAUCAUGAAAUAGCUCCCUCUCGGUUAAGAACUGGAUCCAAAUGAGCAGGGAGGUGCUCGCGCUGUCUAUAGUGGAGGGGGGAUGUACAUAGUCUGGAGUCAAAAAAGGAGGAAAAGGAAAAAAAGAAGAGAUUGAAUCCAAAGAAUAAAAGAAUGAAAAAAUGUCUCUUCUGGGCAUAUUUACAGGAGCCAAGGGCUCCAUGGCUAGCCCAUAACAGCUAGCAGAGGAGCGAGAAAUUGAUGGAGCACCAAGCAAUGGAAAAUAGGAUCUCAACCAUAGUUGAGUGAACCAAAGAGGUCCACUACCAGUGGGAGAUGCACCAUUCUUCAAUUGAGUUUGAAGAAAGGCCAUGCCUCUAUAAAGGGCAGCCAAAAAGAAAGAACAUAAAUUCAAAGGCCUGCCACGCGCCAAUUCAUGCGCUAUGGGUAAAUAACUCAGGAAGGGCUUUAUGCUUGGCACACACAAAACAUAUUUACAAAGCCAAACUAGAAGAAAAGCCACUCGCUCAGUAUGAGAACGCUCAGCGCUUGAAUGAUUGUGAAGGGUUUGCAGGCUUGAAUAAGACUCGGUGUAGUUUCUACCAAACUUUGGGGCGCCACCAGAAACCAAGAUACCAGGAAAAAUGGUAUCGCCCAAAGGUGGUAGAUUCAUUAGGGCCCCAACAUCCCUUAAAGUAAUAGACAUGGGGCCAAGAGGAAAAAUAAAGGUAUUAUACUCAGAAGAUCAAAAACUCAAAGCAAUCGAAAAAAGUGCUGAAUCAAAAGUAGGGGGGCGAAUAGAGAUUUCUAACAAAUCAGAAAUCCUAGCAUUAUCAAAAAGUGCCUUAGUAGGAUCAUGACCCACAAGACGAGCAUGCCACCUACAGAAAGCUACAUCAGAUUUAGGCCAAGUGCGAAUACCUCUUUCGCGAAGUGGCCCCAACGGCAGAGAGUUUAGAAAUGGAGGGCCUUGAGUACAAGGAAACAGCUGACCCACCGCCGCCUGUUCAACUGCCUCUGCAUUGUUGAAGAAAGGACCUAAGUAGAACCCAUUGCGUUCGACAUCGGUGGGCGCGAGAAAACUCGGAGUUAUGUAUGGAUGACUCAGAAGUUUCUGAAAGUCAUCAAAACUAAAGGAGUCGCCAGCUUGAGAUUGUGAAGUAGCCAUUUGAGAAGGAACAAAGUUUUUCAGGGUUACGUAGUAGGGAAGCAAAAGAUGAACAGUAAAUCGUGGGAGAGACGCGAAAAAUUUGAGGUGUGAUUUAAUGGUGCAGUGAAAUGGCGUGUUUGGGGGUUAUAAGGGUUUGCAAAAUGACGCACCUUUUCAAGUUAUGGAAGAAAACAAUGAUUGAAAUUCUUGGAAAUCUCAAAUGUUGCUGGAAACACAAAGUGAAUAUGGCAAAAUUUAAUAAUUAUUAUUAAUUUUGCCAUAUUGGGGGGUAAUUGUUGACACAUAAAAAUUCAGCCCAAAUCGAACGACCCAAGGAAUGAAGCCCAAUUGGAGGAUUCCCAAAUCAGAUAGCCCAAAGAACGAAGCCCAAUCAAACAAUUCAAGAUGAAGGCCCAAAUAGGGAGGCCCAAGAACGCGGUAACGCCAUCGCCCAAGUUUGCAAGUCGCCCAGAAUCUGAGCGAAUGGAGUGCCAUGUAGUCGCCCAGAGCUGUUACUCUAUUCUCGCCCAAACCUUCAAGUCGCCCAAAGUCUUAACAAACAUAAAGCGUUGUGGUUAUCAAGAAGUGCAAUUAUCAAAGCAGUUAUUAAAGCAGCCUUAUCACAUUCCACGAUUUAAGGAAUUCAAUCGAAAGCGGUUGAACGACGAAGAGUAAUUGCAGUAGUUAAAAAAGGCAGUUUUCAUGACAAGUUGGCCAUUACGAGGAAAGUGGGCAGUUGUAGAACGAUCAGACACUUUUUAGGCGGUUGAUCACAAAGAGAUCGUCCAUGAAGUAUAAAAGGGAGAAAAGACAUAGAGCAAAGGAUCGAAUCAAAAACUUUCGAACAGAGAACAUGUAAUUUUAAUUUCCUUAGCUUAGACUUAAAUACUUUUUUCAGUAACUCGUGUGCUUACGCCCCUUGGAGGCACUUUGUUUUUAAUUUCCAAUUGUAAAGUCGUCGCCAAUAAAAGAACACCCCUUUUUGGGACUUUGUCUCAAGAGGUUUGUCCCUUACACAAUCGUCUGAUCCAUUUUUAAUUGUUAGCGACUAACCCGCGCGAAACACCAAGAUAAUGGAUAUACUAAGAAAUAUGUAUAAAGAUGAGCGAGACAUGUUUCACAUGAAAAUAUUCAAAAUGUCCCAAAAUCUUGAUAAAGCUCAAUCUUUCACCGUGAAGUAAAAGAUUUGGCUGAUAAAUUUUUUUUAUAGAGAAUUUUUGAUCCCCUCAUGCUCAAUCUUGAUUAUCUUAAAAGCAAAUCAUGCUUUAUUAGUUAAGAAACUUGUAAUAGAGGCAUUAUUAUCUUAAACGUUAUUCUUAGCAUUAGUUUCAUGAAUGUUACAUAAAAUUUAUUUAAACUUCUAAUAGAGGCAUUACAGCAUAUAUAAGCGCCCUAAACUAGACAUUGUAUAUCAAUUGUCAACGCAAGAUUAUGAAUGUCUAAUGCAACAGAUAAUUUGCAAAUGUGGCGCUGGAGGACAAGCACAUUCAGUAGCCAUUGGACUCCUUGAGACACUGUCAAACUACGGGUGGGAUGCCAAGGCGGUCAUUACGUUUGCUGCUUUUUCUGUCAGCUACGGUGAAUUUGGGUUGGUUGAGAACCUUCGCGUGAUGAAUCCGCUUGCCAGGGAUAUUGCAGCUCUGAAGGAUAUACCAGAAACAAUGGAGCAGAAAGAAGAAAUGAAAAAGAAGUUUCAAGCUAUUGUCAAUCUUUUACGCGCUGUACUGAACGUGACUCACAUCAUUAUAAAGUUCAAGGAGCUCCCCACUCAAUAUGUGAACAGGGAUUCACCAGAAAUGAAAACUGCAACAGUUCACAUUCCGACGGCUAUUUAUUGGAUCAUAAGGGGCAUUUUGGCUUGUGCUUCAGUACUUCUGAACCUUAUUGGCAGUGGUCAUGAGUAUGUUUCUAAUUGUGCCUAAUUGACAAAGUAAAAAAAAAAGCAAGAAAGUUGAAUUCUAAAUGUAUUGACAAUUAAAUAAUUUUGUUGGGGAUCAGGUUCAUUACCUCAACUGCUGAGUCCUGGGAGUUAUUAAGUCUAGCUAGUAAGCUCUCCCACAUGUCUGAGCACCUGCAAGAUCAACUGAACAAAUUGAAUGAUUUUAUUGGUAAGUCACCAGCAAACUAGAUUCGUUUGAAAUCAUUGUUAUGCCUAAACUAAAGAUAAAGUAGUCCUACAAACACUUAGUAUGGGUCCACCUUCCCAGCAUCGCAGGAACACCUCAGAAAAUGAGUGCCCAAAGAGACCUUGUUUACUACUUUUAUAGGGUGUGGGUUGAGAAAGAGACGAGAAAUUGGAACAUGCAGAGAAUCAGCGCACAACUUGUGCAUCUUUUCUUGAAUUAUUGUUACUCAUACCAUUACUUAAAUGAUUAUACUGUUGUGCAGAUAGACAGUACCAAAAAAGGGAAUUUGAUGACAUGGUUAGUGCCUUCAAGGCAUCUCAUAUCGACAACAUGAAGAUAUUGAAGAUGAUUAUUCGUGCCGGAGAAAAUCAAAUGCCGAUCUUUGAUGGGACUAGAUGGAUAAAUGUUGUCUCCUAAGCCGCAAGAGACAGAAAGUAUCUAUUCUCAUUAAAAGUGGAAUGUUUCUCUUGUCACAACAAAUUUGUAUGGAUAUAGUCUAGGGAUCUUUUAGUACUAUGUGAACAUAUCUCAAAACUCACCUAGUGAAAUUUUUCCUAUACAUGUUUCACAAAAAUUCAAUGGUUCAAUUAAAUCAUUCCCAAGUAAUUUCUAAUUACUUAAAGAUUUUAGACCCUUAUUUCCAAUGUACCCAAUUCUAUUAUGCCAAAGACUAGAUUUAUUUUCAAUUACAUAUCUAUUUGUGAAGUAACUGUAUCACCCACAAGAUAGUACAUUCUAUUUCUCUUAGUCCCUUUCAUAACAACUGAGGAUCCUUUCACAACCUUUAAUGUGUUAUUUUCAUAUUUAAAUACAUGCUCUUCAAAUUCAAGAAUCCCAAUGAGAUAAGGUUUCUUUACAGAGUAGGCGCAUAUCGACAUUCUUUAUUGUUCUGACAAUGACAUCAUGCAUCUUGAUGGUGAUGUCACCUAUACCAACUAAUGUUUAUGAAUUAUUAUCUACCAUACACUCAUUUCUAGGUUCUAUUUCUUUAUAAUUGUAAAACCUAUUCCUAAUAUGAUACAUAUGGAAUGUACACCUUGAAUCUAAUAUUCAGUCUCUAUUAAUUUCAUCACUAGAUAGUCAUCACAUGCAAACUAUCGAAUUCUGUGUGAACAUCAGCGUAUUUAAUUGUACAUUGCUAUGUUCUUUUUGUUUUUGUUUUGUUUUGCUAUUUUUUUUCCACUCAUAGCAAUCUCUUUUAAAGUGUCCUAACUUACCACAACCAUAGCACAUUUUAUUGCUUUUAUCUUUGGAUUUGGACUUUACCUUAGACUUUUCCUUUCUCUUUUUUUACUUUGAAAGUUAUUAUCCCUUUUCUCACUUCUCACUAUUACAAACAAGAUCUCUUCUCUAAAGUUAGCGUUCGAUUGUUUUCUAACCUCUAACUCUUUUGAUCUCAGGGCAUUUAUUACAAUUUUUUAUUUAAAUUUGUCUAUAGAGUAUUUUAUUACAUUUCUCACAUUCUUAUAGGAAUCUGGCAGAUCAUUCAUCAAAAUAACGGCUAGAUUAUCAUCUUCAAAAUUUUCUCAUUGCGUGCUAAGCUUUUCAUGAUAGUACUAAAGUCACUUUAAUUUACUUCUAAGUCUUUCCAAGGGCCGAUCUUAAAACAAAAGAAAUUUUUCAAAAAGAUAAAUCCUAUUUGUUAAAGUCUUAGGAAUAAAGUGUCAAGUGUAGUCCAGAAGUUUUAGCUUCAUCUACUUAUCUAACAAUACAAUUAAAUAGAUGCAGGACCAAAGAGCUAUGUACAAUCUCAUUCAUUCCUUCAAUUUCGCUUGGUUUUGCUUUCCAUUCACCAGAAAAUGUUACAGGAUCUUCAAGGGCUUUUGCCAUCUUCUGUUGGACUAAUAUAGCCCUCAUCUUUUUCUUCCAAAUCAGAUUAUCUCCAUAUCCAUUGAAUUGUCAAGUUUGACCCGAACCCAUGAUAGAUUCUGUAAAAGUAUGGAUCGAAUUCGAGGUCAUUUGGGAAUCAUAUUCUCAGAAAAAUAGUACCACACACUAAAAAUUAAAGAAACGGCAUUAUUGAAAGAUCAAGAUAUGAGAAUUAUCUAAAAAGAUGUACAGAAAAAACAACAGAUAUAACAUUUUAAGAAAUCUUGCACAUACUGAAAAAGGUCUAAGCAAAUAAUCGUUGAAAAAUGGUCCAAACCUCUGAAAGCUAGUAAUGAAGCCAACAAACUCAGUCAAAUUUACAGUGGACUAGUGAGACAAUAUACAGUAUCAAACACACACUUGAUGUUCCAAAAAAAAGUUUUGAACUAAAAAUCCUAUGUUAUAUGGAUCUUUUCAAGAUCUACACGAAUCUAGAAAAUGGUUUUAAAGAAAUAGAUUUUUAUUAAGAAAAAAAUUUCUCAGACGAACUUACCGAGAAGUCUUAAAAGGCUCUAAUACUAAUUUUGUUGGGAAUUCGCCCUUUAUAAAACGAUUUGAUGAUGAACAUAACAAUGACACUUAAGAACACGGAAUUGCUCACCUAGUUUAGUAAAAGUUGCCUGAUUUGGGUUGCUCAGGAAUCAGCCUGUUCCACAAGGGAAAUGCUAUGUGUACACCAUGAGGUGUACACAAUGCAUUACAUCUCUCUCACAUGGAGAGGGGCCCACAAAUAUUUUAUUGUGCGUGGGCCCCCUCCAUAUGAGGGGGGUGUAAUGCUAUGUGUACACUAUUAUGUACACAUAGCAUUUUUCGUUCCAUAAUGUGCAAACAACUACCUUAGAGAGAGCAUGAGUAUAUGACCAAAUUCAAACCAGUUUUAGUCCCAAAUCCAAAAGGAUCUUCUAAAACUAAACCCAACCAACAAUCUAUUUUACUAAAACACUCCAGUACAUAACCGCACAAUACUAGCAAUAUUUUUGGCUACAAGAUUACUGUAGUAGGAAGAUUUUACAAGGCUUAUCCCUAAUCUCUCAUUCAAGAAAGAUCAAAAGAACUACAAAAGAAGAAGAAGACCAAAGAGAGAAAACUCUAGAGACUUGAAAGCUAGAAAACCCUCAAUGAGUUUGCUGUAUCUGAUAAUUUUGCAUGUAAUUCACAUUCUCAACUAAAUAAGUAAAAAGACUGUCUACAUUACAAUCAACGCUUUCCUGAUCCCUCCACAAUGAUUAUGUCUUGGCUCAACUGCUUGCAAUGCAUUAAUUAUCUGAUCUAUUUUUGAGCUAAAGUUACUAACUGUGCUGAGAUUGUUGUCAGUGUGUCAACCUCGUGUGUAUUUCAAUAAUUUUCUUUCCACCCGAUCUUUUUGUUAUCCACAAUGUACUGUUGUAUGCUAGAUUUUUCAUGAUUUGAUACAUUUGAUCCGUUAUCGAUUUUGUAAUUGACCCAUCAUAGGCAAAGUCAACAUUAUCCCUGCUUGUCGGGUUCAACCCGAUGAAUUCUUGGAACCAUUUCUGCAAACCAUGUUGUGGGCAUUGUCUUAAUAGUCCUUUGUAUCUUUCCCAUGCUUUGUAGUUGCACUCUAAAUCAUGUUGAGAGAAUGAUGUUAUGUUUUGGUUUCAUUUCUUAACCUGACACUUCUCUUUGGUAGUAAGUAUUUAUUUAAGAGCUUCUAACUUAGAUUGAUUCAAGUGACGGUGCUAUGAGGGAAAAAGGUGUCAAACCACUCCCUAGCUAAAUCUCUUAAUGUGUGUGAAAGAGCCUAAACUGAUUCGCAUCAGUGAAAACCCUUGGAUAUCCAAUUGUUACACACAUAUCCAAAAAUCUUGAGAUAUGAGCAUUUGGAUUGUUACUGGGUCACCCAAAGAAUUGUAGUGCAUUCUAGAAAAAAAUUAUCACGUUUGUCCUCAAUCGGUAAUUAGCUUACUCAAAUGCUAGAUAAGCUAUGCUAGAUCUACUUUCUGCCAUAGGUGAAACCAAGUAUUCUCCCAUCAAUCUCUCAUUUUUGUUCCCUACAUUUACAACCGAAUGUACUACAUUGUCGUUCAACCAAACGUCACUUGAUUCUAUAUGUCUUCUACCAUUGGUUUUUCUUGUUGUUUUUAGUGUACUUCUAUCUAUUCUUUUUUUUUUCUCGACUUCAAUGGUCGUUCAACUUCAAAUUCAAAUGGAGUGAGAUCAUCGUGUUUUGAACUUUGCAUAUAAGGUACUAAAAAUAAAGAUGGAAAACAAUGUAAUAUUUUUCUAAUAUGAACUUGAACUAAUAAAGCAAUAAAUAUUCAGAGUAAAAUUAUAACUAGCGAAAACUAAUUAAAUUCUAUAGUCUUGACAAUGCGUUAAAAACUUGAUUGUUAUAUUCCUCCCAAGUGUACAAUAUAGAAAACAAGUAAUAGAGUGAUGAAUAAGAUAUUGUUCCCAUGAGGAUCACAUAUUUAAUAAAUGAUUAAUUACUUUCAACUUUAAUUGAAUAGCCAUUUUUUUUAAUUGUUUAAAUUAAUUUAUCUAAUUAAACUAACAAUUAUAGGGAGCAAAUUAUGAGCUUUGUAAAUUUAGAUGAGACGGUUACUAAGACCUCGAAGCCCCUUUAUUAGUCCAUUUCAAUGUAAUCAAAUAACAUAACAAAAUGUGCACAUUAUUGUUCGUCAAUGUUCCUAAGUUAAAUAAAAGCAUCUCUCAAUAUCAAUUAAAUCAAUAAUCUCAUGUGACCCUCGUCUAUCUCUAUGCAAGAUGCAAACAUGAAAGCGUACAUUAAAUAUACUAUAAUACUUAUAAAUAUCAUGUAAAGUAUAGUGGUAUAUUUCUAUCCUCUAUCGAACUUUACAAUGGAUGUUAUAAAGUGCUUUCUAUCAUAUUGUUUAUCUCUAGAUUAAUAAAUUUCACAAUCAAUCCAAUUAGUGAUCUAGUAAUUGAGAAGCCAUUAAAUUUUAUAACAAUCAUCCAAGAAUAAACAUAUGUUGAGCGUCAAGUUAUUGAAUUUAUAUUAAAACAUCAUAUUAAGGGUUCAUCAAUGUCUACAAAAUCACAAAAAAAUUAUAAUUAAUUGGAAGAACAUAACAUAGAUUAUGGUUAAAUUGAAAGGAAGAAGAUGACUUGAAAUAUUUUGUUUCUACAAUGGAUUCUUCAUGAGUCUCAGAUUGUUUCUUCUCAUCCUUUGUCCAAUGAUCAUGGUUGAAUCUUCAAAGAAUUGAAAUCUUGCAAUUACUUCUUAAUUAUCUCAAAAGAUCUAUGAAUUGACCUCUCUUUGAUAAUGAUAAUUGAUGUAUAAUUUGUACCAAUUUUUCAUUUUUCAUUUUUUAUGCGUAUUUAUAAAUCUCAGAAAUAGGUAGGAAAAUGCGCCCAAAAUUCUAUUGAAGAUGAAUUCUAAUGAAAUCAUGAAUUUACCUGGAUUUGCCCAGAUUUGGUGUAGGACCCGGGCGAUCUCCUAGGCAUAAUAUUUGUCCUCGUUGUUAUUGCCCAUCCUAACUUGCACUGCAUAGCCGUAGGUACUUUUAUCAUAAUUUUCUCUUUCCAUAUCCAAUUAAGGCACUUUAAAUUGUGUUGAAAGCUAACUCAAAAUACUACAAUUUUAUUAGAAAUAGUAUUUUUCUAAGUCGAACGUUUACUAUGUCAAAUAUAAGUCUCAAUUUCUAAUUAAAAAUCUGGAACAUAACUUGUACAGUUGGAAAUUGAUUUGUAAAAAUAUUUUUAUCUUAUUUCAUUAUUUGUACUCCUAAUUGCUUCCAAUCGACUCAUAACAAUCUUUAAUUACCGUUUUGUGGUCCGAAUGAACUAUGAUAAAGUUAUUGUUAGGUCCUCGAUCUUUGAAUUUCUCCAUUUUCGUUUCUUUGUUUCAACUCAAUUUUCAAUCAUUGAGUUUCACUUAAUAAAAAAAAAACCAUAAAUAGGCUAUAAUUAAUCAAAAGAACUUCGAAAUGUUAGUAUUUCAAGGUCCAAAUAAGUGUAUAAAUUACAGUUAUCACUUAGCCUUUUAUUUUACUUCUCUUCCAUCUAUAGAUGGUAUAAGUUCUCUUUUAUCAUAAUUUGUUUUAUUUUUUAUUAAUAAAUCAUUCACUUAGGGUCGUUAAAAAAAUAAAAAAAAGAGGCCUCUGUUUUGGUCUUCUUAAGAAUCAGAAUGUAGGAACAAUGAUUUAUAUAAAUCCCUUGUUUCAUAUGACUUUAUUCUCAGUUUAAUAUUCUUUCCUGAUUUUGUUUUAUGUUGUAAAGAAUGUUGGUCUUGAAACUACACUUUGGAAUAUUAUAAAGCCUCAUUAGGUCCACACUAUCCAAAUUGCAAAAAAGAACAUAAAGUGAAAAAAGAAGAGGUUUUUGUCAAACAAAACUUGUUUCGUGAAACAUCAAUUUCAUGUUGUUAUACAAUUUCUUUAAAUUAUGAUGGCACCAUUAGAUUUGGUAGUAAUUAAUGGCAUUAGGAAUUUUGUGCUCUCGAUGAAUCAAGAAGAGGAGAAUGUAAUGAAAUUUUUGACUUGUUCGGUCCAAUUUUGUCAUACUAACAUUCUAAAUGCAUCUAAGUUCAUAGAACGUUAUUUUUCAUAAAAUGAAUAGUAUUUACAAUACCAGGUACAUAAGAUAGGAGCUAUAAAUUGUAACAAUAAAAUAUAAUAUUCCUUUUUUUGCAACUCUAGGACUUCAAUUUUGUUGAGACUCGAACCCCGGUUCUAUUGUGCUCCCAUAUUUUUUACUUAAAAAUGUGUUUCUAAAACAAGCUUUUAUAAAAUGAUGAUUUUCACUGGAUGAUGACAUCUGGCAUUUUACUUACCAUUGGAUGAGGCAUUGGUCCUGGUGAUAUAAAUAUUGCUUGGACGGUUCGUUUGGCAAGAGAUUUUCAUUUCUUCUAGCUUUUCAUUUUUGAGAGAGGUUCUAGAGAGUUCUCUUCAUCUCUGUAGCUAGGGUUUUCUGAUUUGCCAUUAGAGUUUGACCUUCUCAUUCGAAGGGAUGAUUUUUGAUGUUUUAGCCUUAGAAUACAUCUAUUUUCUUGAGUGGAAAUAUGUAAGAAUGAAAGGGUUUUUAUGUUUUGAGUUUGUGAAGGAGAUCCGUUGAUUCUUGUGUGAUUUGAGUCAGAUCUGUUGGUUCUUGUAAAGAGAUAAGUCUCUUGUAUUGUAUUCUUGUGUUGACUAAACAUUUUUAACAUUCGUUGCCAAUUUUAAGGCAUUUUAGUGUAAUCGAGAUAUAACCAUUCUUGAAUGGAUGCUCAACAAGGGAUUUGGUGUUAAAAGGGUCACCGAACCUUUAAGGUUGCGGUCGAAAAAUUUUCUAUGUUCAAUCUUUUAAUUUCUACUAGUUUUACUUUCUGUUGUGUUUUUGAUUGAACGUAUCUUGUGAUUAAUAUCGUGUGUCUGGGCCUUUCAGUGGUAUUAGAGAAAGAACUGAGAACAAGAUACCUGCAUCUUCGAAGGAAGUUGUUGAUCAAUUGCAGAUCUGAAUUUUUGGAACUACUAUUGAGCAGAACUGAAGGGCUCGUGAGUUUUUAUAAAACUCAUUCGGUGAGAUCUCUUAAUUUUGUAAAGUUUACUUUUCAAAAUUUAGGGUUUCUUGAUUUUUCCCUUGAUUUACCAUACACUGUAAUUCCCUGGAGAAUAAUCUUUGUUCAAAGGCUCCUGAGAGGUCUUGGGAAUUUGAGAUAAAUCUAGUACGGGUGUGAAUCUGGAGAAUCUUAAAGGAGAAAUCUCUUAAACAUAGCUUUGUGAUCUCUGAUGUUGUGUUCUUCAUUUGAUUUAAUCUGCAUGCUCUUUCUGUAAUAAAAACAUGUAUAAAUUUGUACCAAUAAGGGUAUUAUCGUGAAACAUGAUUGACACUUGCUUAGUUUCUACUACUGUGCUGUGUUCAUCUUGUCUCAUAUUUGUGCAUCUUGUUUGGUAUAAUAAAAUGGCUACUGCUAAAUUUGAAGUUGCACAAUUUGAUGGAAAAAUUGAUUUUAAUAUGUGGAGUCAAAGGAUGAAAGCUACCCUAAUGCAAAUGAGAUAUGUUAGUGCCUCAGAUUAUAGUUGGCCUACUGAUAUGAAUCCUGCUAAGAAAACUGAACUUCAAGCGGUGGCCUGGAGUAUCGUCUUGUACUUAUCUGAAAAUGUGAUAAAAACAAUUGGUGAAACCAAAAUAGCUUCUGAAUUGUGGACCAAACUUGAAAAUUAAUAUGUGACUAAGACAAUCCCAAACAAUUGUUAUUUGUUAAAACAACUCUUUUAUUUCAAAAUGGAACCCUUAAUUGAUUUGGAUGACAACUUGAAUAGAUUUACUAAGUUGACCCAAGACCUGGCCAACUGUGAUGAAAAACUUUCAAAAGGUCAACUGAUUAUGGUCUUGUUGAAUUCCAUUAGUGAUAAAUAUAGAGACAUUAAGAUUGCCUUAGAGCAUGGUAGGGCAAAACUUACUACUGAUGUAAUCAUAAAUACCCCAAAGAAUAAGCUCUAGAGAUCAAAUUUGAAACUAAGGAGAAUUACAAUGGAAACACUUUGCUAGCAAGGGAAAAAGGUUUUAUUAAACCUAAUUAUCACUCUUAGACUUUAUUUGAGAUAAACAUAAAUGGAGUGACGAAGAGUAAGUCUAAAAAUAACACUAACGGUAAGAAAUGUUUCUAUGGUGGGAAAUAGCGUCAUUUUAUUAAAAAUUGUUAUAAAAUGAAAAAUGAAUCAAAAGAAAAGAAACUUUAUGAUGGGAAUGCUGUCUUAGUGUAUAGUAAAUAUAAGACUGAAGAUUGAUUGGUCCUAGUUAAUGUCGAAAAGAAGCUGAAUCAGGAAUGGAUCCUUGAUUUAGGCUAUUCUUUCCACAUAUGCCCUAAUAAGAAUUGUUUUCUCGAAAUUGAAAAAAACAACUAGUGGUAAGUUAUAAUGAAUUGUAAUUGACUUGCAAAGUAAGUGGAAUAGGAACUAUUAAGCUGUUGCUUGAAAAUGGCAAGGCCCUAUUUUUGAAAUGAACUAAAUAUGUUCCAGAAUUAGAGAUAAAUUUGGUGUCUCUAGGCAUGUUAGAUGAUAUGGAGUUUGAUAUUAAACUGGAUCAAGGACACAUUAAAAUUCUUAGGGGCAAUGAGUUAAUCAUUAGGACCCCUAAGAGAUAUGGCCUUUAUUUUCUUAAAGCAAAACCUUUACUUGGCUUGACUGCUAUUACCGACUUAAAAUUUUUCCAUUGCAAAAUUAUGGCAUGAAAGAUGUGGUCGCAUUGGCAAGAAAAGUUUAAAAGCUAUACAAAAUAAAAGAGUUUUUGGAAAUCAAAAUCUUGGUGAUAUUGGUCCUAGUGAACAAUGUGCGAUAGAUAAACAAGUUAAGCUUAAUUUUUCACCUGGAAUUCAUAAAUCCAAACAAAUAUUUGAGUACUUGCAUGCCAAUUUGUGGGGUCCAGCAUCUCUGUGUACUCUAUCUAGUUCCAAAUAUUAUCUUUUGAUCAUUGAUGACUUUUCAAGAAAAAUAUGAGUUUUCUUAUUAAAAUCUAAAGAUGAGACUUUUUUUUUCAAAUAUUGAAAAAUACAAUUUGAAAACCAAACUGAUCAUAAGAUUAAGAUUUUGAGAAAUGAUAAUGGUUUGGAGUUCUGCAAUUAUAAAUUCAAUAAUUUUUGUAAAGAGCAUGGCAUAUUUAGACAUAGGAACCUUACUUGUACCCCUCAACAAAAUGGCAUAGCUAAGAGAAUGAAUAGAACUUUGUUAAACAAGGUAAGAUGCAUGCUUUUGAGUUUAGGUUUACCGAAAUUAUUUUGAGAUAAUUUGUAAAUACAGCUGCAUAUUUUGUGAAUAGAACUCCCACUAGUGCCCUUAAUUUUGAUGUUCUUGAAGCUAUAUGGUCUAAAAAUCCUAUUGAUUAUUCUCACCUAAAAUUUUUUGGAUGUGCUGCAUAUGCCCAUCAAAAUAUUGAAAAGUUAGAACCUAGAUCACUUAAGCCCUUGUUUGAGCCACAUUAUUAGAAUGAAAAUGCAUUUUUGAAAAGUGUAUUGAUGGGAAAUGUAUGAUUAAAAAAUAAGAAAUUUUUUUAAAUUUAUGUGUAAUACUAUUUUAUUGAAAAAUCAGUGGUUGAAAUGAUAUCAAAUCACUAUUGAAAAAUGUAUUUUUUUGAAAAAAUGUGGCACAAAUAGGGCCUAAAUGUGUUUUCUUGGGUUAUGUUGAAAAUAUAAAAGGGUACAGUUUAUUGGUUAAAAGUGAACGAGGAUAUAAGUUAAUUGUUAGAAGGGAUGUUGUUUUUAAUAAAUCUAUUAUGCCUUGUUUAGAAGAGGGAAAAGAAAAUAAUUUGACUAGAGAAGAGGUUCAAAUCGAGGUGGAGUCUCCUCAUAGUGAGAGAGAAGCCCCUACGCCAGUUAUAACUGAAACUGGUACUGUUGAAAAUGACAAUUUUAUUGAAGUUGAAAAUGAUCUAGUCAUUAAUACUAAUAAUGAGACUGAUCUAUCUACUUUUCUCAUCGAUGAAUAUCAACCCACUAGAGAUAGGGAAAGAAGGCAAAUUGAACCACCUGCUAGAUUUGAUUGUUACGACUUUGUUUCAUUGUUUAUCUAUCAAGAACAAUUUGAAAAUGAGCCAAGCUCCUAUGAUGAUGCCAUAAAUGUGUUUACCUAUCAAGAUGAAUUAGUUCAAAAGCCUAAAGGUCAAAAACUUAUUGAUUGCAAGUGAAUUUGUAAAAUAAGAGAAGGGGAAGGGAAAAAAAAAAUGUGAGAUAUAAGACUAAACUUGUAGCCAAAGAUUUUACACAAAAUGAAGGUUUAGACUAUAAUGAAAUUUUUUCCCCUAUUGUCAAAUACACCACUAUUAGAUGUAUACUUGCUUUAGUUGCUCAAUUUAGUUGGGAACUUGAUCAGUUAGAUGUAGAAACUACCUUUCUUUAUGGUGAUUUAGAAGAAAGAAUUUAUAUGAGACAACCUACUGGUUUUAUAAAAGGAAAUCCUAAAAAUAUUGUUUGUCUUUUAAAGAAAUCACUGUAUGGUUUAAAACAAGCUUCUAGGCAGUGGUACAAAAAAUUUGACUCUUUUGUUUUAAAAAUUGGUUUUCAAAGAAGCAACUAUGAUAAAUGUCUAUAUUGUAAAGCUAAAGGUAGUACUUUAUGUGGAUGAUAUGUUAUUUGCGACCUGUGAUAAAUUUGAAAUUGAAUAUAUCAAACAAAAACUUAAAUCUGAGUUUAAUAUGAAAGGCCUUGGGGUUGCCAAAAAAGUUCUUGGUAUGCAGAUUUAUAGAAAUAAAUAGAAAGACAUGUUAUUUUUAAUACAACAUGAUUAUGUGGUUAUAAUCUUGAAAAAAGUUUAACAUGUUUGAUUGUAAACCUGUAAAUUUGCCUCUUGCUAACUAUUUUAAAUUGACAUCUAAGUUCUUUCCCAAAAAUGAUGAAGAAUUUGAUAGAAUGUCAAAAUUACCUUAUGUUAAUGUAAUUGGAUCUGUUAUGUAUUUCAUGGUGUGUACCAGACCUAAUCUUAAUUUUAGUAUUCACAUACUUACUAGGUUUAUGAGUAAUCCUAGGGAAGAACAUAGGAAUGCUUUAAAAUGGUUUUUAAAAUACUUGAAGGAUACAUCAAAUUUGGGUCUAAUGUUUAGAAUGAACAAAGAUGGGGUAAAUUUAAAGGGGUUCAUUGAUUCUUACUCUGCUGGAAAUAGGAAAUCAACUUCAUCCAACUUCGUCAGUUCAUGUGGUGCUGUAAUCAGUUGAAAAUCUCAAUUGCAAAAGAAUAUGGGCCUAUCCUCAACUGAAGCAGAAUAUAUUGUUGCUUCUGAUGCAUUUAAAGAGGGUAUCUGGUUAAGUGGAUUGCUAAAGGAACUUGGUUUUUUUUAAUUUUUUAAUUUUAUUUUAUGAAAAUGCAAUUCUGUAUUCUGAUAACUAAAAUGCCAUACACUUAAUUAAAAACCCCAUAUUUAAUGAUAGGACUAAACAUAUAGAUAUUAAGUAUCACUUUAUUAAAGAUGGAAUUUCAAAAGGAAUUUUGAAAAUUGGCAAAGUAGCUACUCAAUAUAAGCCUUCUGAUAUGGGAACAAAGAUAAUGACUUUAAACAAAUUUCAGAACUAUUUGAAGAUAUUAUCAAUUGAUACUUUGUGAUGUGCUACAGGUACAUGGAGCGAAUGAAAUGAAAGAAUAUAAUAUGCUCAUUGCUGCAUUAUGGCCUAAAAACUGUGGUAGUAAGAUGGAGAUUGUUGAGACUCGAACCCUGGUUCUGUUGUGCUCCCAUAUUUUUUAGAUAAAAAUGCAUUUCUAAAACAUGCUUUUAUAAAAUGACGGUUUUCACUGGAUGAUGACGUUAACAUUUUACUUACCAUUGGAUGAGGCAUUGGUCAUGGUGAUAUAAAUAUGGCUUGGACGGUUCAUUUGGCAAGAGAUUUUCAUUUCUUAUGGCUUUUCAUUUUUGAGAGAGGUUCGAGAGAGUUCUCUUCGUCUCUGUGGCUAGGGUUUUCUAAUCUGUCAUUACAGUUUGAACUUCUCAUUCGAAGUGAUGAUUUUUGAUGUUUUAGCCUUAGAAUACAUGUGUUUUCUUGAGUAAAAUCUAUAAGAAUAAGAGGGUUCUUAUGUUUUGAGUUCGUGAAGGAGAUCUGUUGAUUCUUGUGUGAUUCGAAUCAGAUCUGUUGGUUUCUUGUGAAGAAAUAAGUCACCUGUACUGUAUUCUUGUGUUGGCUAAAUAUUUGUAACCUUUGUUGCCAAUUUUAAGGCAUUUUAUUAAAUCAAGCUAUGUCCAUUCUUGAAUGGAUGCUCAACAGGGGAUUUGGAGUUAAAAGGGUCACUGAACCUCUAGGGCUACAGUCGAAAAAUCUUCCUUGUUCAAUCUUUUAAUUUUUGCAACUUUUACUUUCUAUUGCGUUAUUGAUUAAAUGUAUCUUGUGAUUAAUAUUGUGUGUCUGGGCCUUUCAAUUUUUACCUUUUGGAGUUGCUAUAAUCCCAAGCAUCAAGUGAAGGAGAUGCUUAAGAUUAAUUACCACUCUAUUUAGCAUCUUAGAAUUACCAAAUGUCCAAUCUUAGUGAUGUGAACCUGGAUACUUAGAUUGCUAUUAAACCCACAAAAGAAUGACACAAAUCCCAAGAAAGCUAGAGAAUCAAAGUUUAUGGAAUUUGACCCAAAAAAUAGUGAACCAAACAACCAAUACAAUCACAUGAAUAUAUUAAUCUUUUGAUUACAGAAUUAAAGAAAUCAAACUCGGAAUUUAAAGAUUGACGUGAAGAAUUAAAUGAACCAGAAAUCAAAGUAAUUAUUAGAAUACCUUGACCCCAUGAUUGCACAACCCAUGAAUCACACUUUAAUUGGUAAAGGCCACUAGAAAUUAUCCCGAUAAAUUCAAUAAAUUGUUCAAGAAGAAAAAGAAGGAAGCAACAUUGCCUCUGAUUAAUUCAAUAACACAAAAGUCUUGUCCUACGAUGAAGAAAUAAAUUCCCUAUUUAUACUAGAAACAAUUAAACCUUAGAUAAUAAUUUAAAAUGGAACAAAACUCUAAAAAUCCUAUUUUAAAAAAGUAAACACGUCCAAAUGAUGUUAAAUAUAUCAAAAGGUACGAACUCUAAUUAUAUAAGGUAACUGCCCAAAAAUUUGGAAUUCCCGUCCAAACAUGUCUCUAUGCGAAUCACAUCAUUCCCUCUCUUCAAGAGAAUUCGACCUCAAAUUCAAACCUUGAUCUUCCUUCCAACAUGAGUUGAAUUUCUACAAAUUGGUGGCGCAUCCGAGAUCAUAUCAGACCCUCCCUCUUCGAGAGUAUUCGCCCUUGAAUUCGCACGUGCUUCAAAUACGGUGCUCCUUCCAUUGGCUUGACCUUUAUCCAAACCUUGCUUGGGAAUUUGAUACUCCGCCAAAUGGUUGUUGAAUGUUCCUUCAAUGCCUAUAAUAUCCUCCAAUGGAAAUGCAUCAAUUGGAUAUUCAAAUGGGAGAUAUUCCUUUGGCAAAAUCCUCGUGCAAUAAAGUUUCAUCAUCUUGCAACAAAGAACUAUACAAACUGGGGAGGGAUAUGCUAGCUUUCACCAAAUCAUUUCCACUACCAAGCUCAACCUUCUUUGCAAACAAGCUCUCCUUUAGUUUGUCUUUCAAUUUCUCCUCUUCUCUUUUCGACCUCAACUGAUCAUCAGACACUUGUUGUGGUGUCAAAGGUACAAGUGUAAUGGUUUUUCCAUCCAUGUUAAAACUAUACCAAUUUAUAAACCCAUCAUGCUUCACCUUCCUAUCGUAUUGCCAAGGCCUACCUAAUAAUAUAUGCCCUGCAUCCAUAGGCAGAACAUCACACAACACUUCAUCCUUAUACCACCCAAUUGACAAAUUCAUCAAUACCCUCCCAUUGACAUUAACCUCCCUCGUUCAUCUAACCACUACAAUAUAUACGGUUUAGGGUGCUUUGACAUCUCCAAUCCUAAUUUCUUAACAAGUGUAUAGCCAGCUAUAUUAGUGCAACUACAUCCAUUGAUAAUCAAAUUGCAUACCUUAUUAUUGACGUGGCACCAUGUAUGGAAGAUUUUCUCCCGCUGCUCCUCUCCUUCAACCUUGAUUUGUGCGUUGAGUGCACACAUCAAGACAAGAGCUUCCCCUUCAACCAGAUAUUUCACGACGUCACCAUCAAUAACAUCUUCUAACUUGGGCAUUCCAUCUUUAUCACUAUCAUUCACCACUUCCCCACUAUCCUUCAAGAUCAUGACUCGUUUAUCUGGACACUAAGAAGCGAUGUAUCCCGUUCCCAAGCACUUGAACACUUGAUGUCCCGACUCCUGGAUUGCUGUGGUUCUGCCUUUGAUGCAACCUUGCUAGCAUUGUCAUCCUUUCCCCUAGGUGGCUCAAUUUUAUUGUUGACAUCACCCCCAUCAACUUUCUCUUCAUCCCACCUAGACCUCCAAGAUGAAUUAGGCCCCUAUUGAUUCCUAGCUCCCACUUUCUCUUCAACUGCCUCUCAACCUUCAUUGCCACAUGCAGCAUAUCCUUCGAUUCCACAUAAUGUUGCAAUUCAACAACAUUGGCAAUGUCCCUGUUCAAUCCAUUCAAAAACUUUGCCAUGGUGACUACUCGGUCCUCCUACACAUUAGCCCAAAUCCUCAAAAUUUCAAUCUCUUUGUGGUAGUCCUCCACACUCCUAGAACCCUAAUACAAACCCUGCAAACUUUGAUGGAGUUCCUUAUAAUAAUGACCAGUUACAAAUCUCUUCCUCAUAACUGCCUUCAACUCAUCCCACGUACUUAUCGGUCUCUCCAUAUUCCUCCGUCGUGAAGUGACUACUGGAUCCCACCUAGUGAUGGCGUAAUCAGUGAACUCCAAGACUGCAACUUUCACUUUCUUUGCCUCCGAAUAGUUAUGGCACUCAAAUAUUAAUUCUACCUUCUUCUCCUAUUCUAGGAAUGCUUCUGGAUCACUCCUACCUCGAAAUGUCGGAAUGGACAUUUUUAUGCUACCCAUACCUUCAUUAACAUCACCUGCAGCAUUGUUUCUAUCUCUUCGUUCAAACCUACUACCUCUAUUCCUCAACCGUCCAAUCUCUACUUAUUCAAAUUUAUUAUCAUCCUAUUCACUGUCAUGCCCAUAUUCAUUUUACACAUCCACCCUAGGCUCCCGUCUAGCCCGUUGACUCCGGCUAAGGUUUGUAGCCGUCGCGUCAAGCAUGUACAACCUAUUUUUCAUAUUUAUCACCAUUCGCUCAAACCACUGCACUAAGUCAUCUUGCAUAUUUUGAUUAUCGUUUAAGCUAGAAUUUGAUCAUUUCCUAUCAGACAUUGCUCAUAAUUUUCUAUCUCACCAAAGUUCACUCUGGAAUCACUCAAUAUUAGGCUUUUAGCUUCAAUUGGACUCACCACUGGAUCUUUUACCACUCAAGUUUCCAAUCAAUGUCCAAAGGACAAUUUUCGAACUUAACCAGAAUGAUUCUUGUGAAAUUCCAAUUGAAUUGUGCAUAUUCAAGAUUAGAAAGGAAAAUGAACUAAAGUAUUAAACAGAACUUUUGGAAGGACUCAAAAUUUUUUAGUGAACAGUACAGUACAGACUGUACAGUAUGGAUGAACAGUAACAAUAAUUUUUUUUUUUUGAAAAACACAAAACAAUUAGACUACUAAAAACUUUUAGAUCUAGGACUCAAAUUUAAUGGGAAACAUGAAGAACAAGGAAGAAAACCUCAAGCAAAGACUCCAAAAAAAAAAAAAAAAAAGGGAUAAAACUUUGAUUCUGAUGUCUAAGCUCUGAUUCCACUUGAUAUAAAUCUGGAUAGCUAGAUCGCUAUUUAACUCACAAAAGAAUGACACAAACCUCAAGAAAGCUAGAGAAAUAAAAGUUUAUGGAAUUUGACCCAAAAAUUAGCGAACCAAACUACCAAUACAAUCACACAUAUAUAUUAACAUUUUAAUUACACAAUUAAAGAAAUCAAACCCGAACUUUAAAGAUUGACCUGAAGAAUUAAAUGAACUAGACACCAAAGCAACUAUUAGAAUACCUCGAUCCCAUGAUUGUACAACCCACGAAUCACACUUUGAUUAAUGAACACCACGAGAAAUUAUCCUGAUAAAUUCGAUAAAUUGUUCGCGAAGAACAAAGAAGGAAGCAACCUUGCCUCUGAUUAAUUCAAUAUCAAAAGUCUUGUCCUACAAUGAAGAAAUAAAUUCCUUAUUUAUACUAGAAACUAUUAAACCCUAGAUAAUAAUUUAAAUCCUAAUAAAUAAUUUUUUUAUAUUAUUUACAAAUAAAAAAAUAAGAAAUUAUUUUUAAAAAAUCGAUAAAUUCUGAAAAAUAAUAAAUUAAAUAUUAAAAAUAUAAAAUCAAAAUAUAAAAGGUAAAAUAAAAAUAGUUGAAACUCAAAUGAUUAUUUAUGUAAUAAUUCUAAAAAGUAUAUUUAAAUGAACGCAUAUAGAAUUUUUUAAAUCCUCGUUAGUAAUUUUUAUUUUUAUUUCCAAUAUUUUAAACUCAAUUUAUUAUUUGAUAACACAGUAACAUAAACUUGUUCUAUUUUUACUAAAUAAUCGGAUUUCAAGGAAUAAAUUGUCAUAAAAUAAUUUUUAAAAAUUUAAAUCUAAAUGUGUUUCCUAAUUUUUUGUACUAAGAAAUAAUUUUUCAAGAUGAAAAACUAAAUGAAUUUUUAGCAAUCUUAAAAUAGACACUCAAAGCAUAAAACUAAAAAUAAACUCAAAAUUGAAUCACAAAUUAAACAGACCCUUAACCUUUGCAAAUGUAAGAUUGACGAUGCUAUAAAUACUAGAUCCCCAUUAGGUGUUUCAUUUUUCUCAAAUAAAAUAAAAUAAAAUAAAAUAAAAAUUCUUCAUAGAGAAUGUGAUACACUUUAUCGUUUAAAACUUAGCUCCUAUUUGGUAACCAUUCUUUAAAUUUUUUAUUUUAAAUUUAAUACUCAUUUUUAACCACAUAUUCUCACAAUAAAAUAUCUUCAUAUAAAUCCAUUUUUUUUAACCACACAUUCUCCAAAAAAUUAUUAUUCAAUUUAUUUUUUAUUUUAUAGAAAGGCUGGGCUUAAAAAUGUUGGAGAUUAACAUGUCCUUUCACUCAAAUUGGAUUCACAUUUUUUUUUUUUUUUUAAGAUCAAACGCAAUUUUAUCAUAAUUAUAAGUAUGAAUGUGAAGUUAUGUUAUCUAAGUGUUUUAAUUAUUAGAGAAAAGAAAUGAGUUUUGAUCGCAAUUAGUAAUAGACCCACUAAUAGCUUUGUUUCGGUUUGAUAAUUGAACCAAACCCCUCCCCCGGGCAAAAAAUCUAAGCACUAUGCCCUAUUAUAGUCUCUUGUUUGAUGGUCAUUAUUUGAGGAAAAUAAUGCUUCGAAUAGUGACUUUUAAGAGAAUUUGUAAUUUAAAAGUAGAGAAAUAUUUUGAGUUUUUAAACAGAAUAUGUUAUUCAAAGAAGAAGAUUUUUUCAAAUAAUGACCAUUAAUUAGGAACUAAAUCAACAAAAAUAUGUGGCCAAUAGAAAUGAUGACAUAACAUGAAAGUCAUCUCACUAAACAUAAAGGCUUAUUGUUAGUCUAAGUGUUAGUUCCAAAAUGAGCUUUAAUAAAGAAAUGAACAAGGUAAAAAGAAAGCUUGUCUAAUGAGAUGCUUAACAACAAAUUAUACAUAUCAUGCCAGUUAAAAAAAGAAAAGAAAAGAUAAACUGCCAACUAUGAUUGAAAGUUCAGCAACUAAAUAGAAAAAUAUUUUAAUUGCAAUAAAGUUCUUACUAUUUUUCAUUGUAGUAAUAUUACCAACUUUUUGUUUUUGUUUUUUAUUUUUUGUUUUCUGUUUUUUAUUUUUUAAAAUUUUACAUCGCAUUCUUAUUGUCAAUCUUCAAUCAAUUAGAAAAUCUUGUCAUUGAUGCUGAUUUCGUCUAAAUAUCAUUAGGAAGGUCCAUGAAAGAUAUUUGCCCCUCAUACUUUUAAUUAGGUUAAAAAGAAAAUACAAAAGUUUUAUAAGAUAUAUUAGCAAUGGAACCGUAAUCAACAAAAAAUAAAAUAAAAUAAAAUAGAAUAAAAAUUAAUUUAAGGCUACUGAUAAUAAUGCAUUGAAAAAGAAUAACAUGACUGCAAUAAUGAGCAAAUAUUUAAGACCUCUACUGCACUAAAGGGUUGGUGAAACAAACCAUAACUGUGGCAUUAUAAUAAAUGGGGCUGGCUAACAGUGUAUUUAUUUUAACACCACAAACAACAGUCCUUCCAGGACCAAAUUUUAUUGUUAGCUGCGCAUUCCUGCAGACGUAAAUUUACAAGUUAGCGUUUUAACAAUUUCCAUAAGUACCUUAGUGCAUGCAAGAGAUCAUUUUUGAGUACAGAAUUGUGAAAACGUAGUUCAGCCAAGAUAAUGGAUAUACUAAGAAAUAUGUAUAAAGAUGAGCGAGACAUGUUUCACAUGAAAAUAUUCAAAAUGUCCCAAAAUCUUGAUAAAGCUCAAUCUUUCACCGUGAAGUAAAAGAUUUGGCUGAUAAAUUUUUUUUAUAGAACUGAAUUCCAAAACCCCUACAGGCUGUAGACCACAAUGGAAGCAAGGUACCUGAUUCAAUUAGCUUUAUUAGCUAUAUAAGGGUUGGAGGGAACUCCAAAUGGACACCAAGACAAGCACUUGUUCUUCAAACAUAUUUGUUUCUAAUAAUCCCUCUUCGUGUUUGCAGUAAUGGCGAGCCGAGAUUUGGUGCCUACAACUAGGACCAACCCACUGUUGAGUGACAAGUCGAAGAAUCCUAAACCUCCUACAACCACCCUUGGAACUCAGAGUCAUUUGAAUGAUCAUGAGAGUGAGAAACAGAAAAUGAGUCACGAUGAACUGGAUCAUCACAACCCUGCAGUUAGGCCUCUUAUGGGUGCAGCUCUGCCUCUGUCAGCAGGCAGAGGUCAUUUGAUGAAGGGUGAUCGCCACAUUUCAACUGAUGAUAUUGGUUUGAACAGGCAAAUUCUGGGAACACAUGCUCCAGAUCAUGAAGAUCUUGACGUGAAGCCCAUUCUUUCCAUCAUAGAGGAUAUCUUGCUUCGUGGCAAAUCUCUUGAAACCGUGCAUGUACAAUGCUAAUUAUCUUGUUUUGUUCAUUGCUACCCAAAUCCUCGAUGCCAAACAUGCUUUUCGUUUUUCUACGCUUUCUAGAGUUCACCUUUAGCUGCAUUUAACUGACACUUUUUUGUGUUUAUAAUACAGGGAGAUCAAGUUCCAGCACAUUCAGAAUCAUAUGAGGAGAAGUCCUUCCAAAAUGCUUACCAUGACUCGGAGAUGGUUAAAAUGUUGGCAUAUCCCAUAAACAAAAUUACGAAUGAGGUAUAGAGAAUUUUUCAUUCCCUCAUGCUCAAUCUUGAUUAUCUUAAAAGCAAAUCAUGCUUUAUUAGUCAAGAAACUUGUAAUAGAGGCAUUAUUAUCUUAAAUGUUAUUCUUAGCAUUAGUUUCAUGAAUGUUACAUAAAUUUAUUUAAACUUCUAAUAGAGGCAUUACAGCAUAUAUAAGCGCCCUAAACUAGACAUUGUAUAUCAAUUGUCAACGCAAGAUUAUGAAUGUCUAAUGCAACAGAUAAUUUGCAAAUGUGGCGCUGGAGGAGAAGCACAUUCAGUAGCCAUUGGACUCCUUGAGACACUGUCAAACUACGGGUGGGAUGCCAAGGCGGUCAUUACGUUUGCUGCUUUUUCUGUCAGCUACGGUGAAUUUUGGUUGGUUGAGAACCUUCGCGUGAUGAAUCCGCUUGCCAGGGAUAUUGCAGCUCUGAAGGAUAUACCAGAAACAAUGGAGCAGAAAGAAGAAAUGAAAAAGAAGUUUCAAGCUAUUGUCAAUCUUUUACGCGCUGUACUGAACGUGACUCACAUCAUUAUAAAGUUCAAGGAGCUCCCCACUCAAUAUGUGAACCGGGAUUCACCAGAAAUGAAAACUGCAACAGUUCACAUUCCGACGGCUGUUUAUUGGAUCAUAAGGGGCAUUUUGGCUUGUGCUUCAGUACUUCUGAACCUUAUUGGCAGUGGUCAUGAGUAUGUUUCUAAUUGUGCCUAAUUGACAAAGUAAAAGAAAGCAAGAAAGGUGAAUUCUAAAUGUAUUGACAAUUGAAUAAUUUUGUUGGGGAUCAGGUUCAUUACCUCAACUGCUGAGUCCUGGGAGUUAUUAAGUCUAGCUAGUAAGCUCUCCCACAUGUCUGAGCACCUGCAGGAUCAACUGAACAAAUUGAAUGAUUUUAUUGGUAAGUCACCAUCAAAUUAGAUUCGUUUGAAAUCAUUGUUAUGCCUAAACUAAAGAUAAAGUAGUCCUACAAACACUUAGUAUGGGUCCACCUUCUCAGCAUCGCAGGAACACCUCAGAAAAUUAGAAAAUUAGUCCCCAAAGAGACCUUCUUUACUACUUUUACAGGGUGUGGGUUAAGAAAGAGAUGAGAAAUUGGAACAUGCAGAGAAUCACCGCACAACUUGUGCAUCUUUUCUUGAAUUAUUGUUACUCAUACCAUUACUUAAAUGAUUAUACUGUUGUGCAGAUAGACAGUACCAAAAAAGGGAAUUUGAUGACAUGGUUAAUGCCUUUAAGGCAUCUCAUAUCGACAACAUGAAGAUAUUGAAGAUGAUUAUUCGUGCCGGAGAAAAUCAAAUGCCGAUCUUUGAUGGGACUAGACGGAUAAAUGUUGUCUCCUUGUCCCUAGUACAUGAAUUUCUUCAUCCCUUCCAAUUAUGCCUAAAUGUGACCGUGUCUUUUAUGUUUUCCUGAUGAUAGGAACGCCUCGAGGUAUUGAGAAUGAAGUAUGUCCUGCUGCUAGUUUCCGACCUUGACCUUCCCCAUGAAGAGCUCAACAUUCUCCAUAUGAUUUACAACCAACAGUCGAUGAGGCACGAGUACGAGGUUCUAUGGUUACCCAUUGUUGACCAUGCAAUGUCAAUGGGCCCGACACAGGAGAGACAAUUUCUCGAUCUUCGCAGCUCUAUGCCAUGGUAUUCUGUGGAUCAUCCUUCGUUGGUUAAUCCAGUAGCCAUUAGGUACGCCCGGGAGAUUUGGAAUUUCAGCCAUAUGCCUAUGCUCGUUGUCUUGGAUCCACAAGGAAGAGUGGCGAACGUCAAUGCUUUACCCAUGAUGUGGAUUUGGGGAAGUGUUGCCUUCCCUUUCACUAAAGAAAGGGAAUUGGGACUAUGGAGAGAGAGUACCUGGGAUAUCGAGUUACUAGCGGACUCCAUUGAUCCACGUAUCCAGGAAUGGGUAUGUACAACAUCGUGCACCCUAGCCAUAUUACUAUCCUUCUUGCUGCAAGCAUCAAUCAUUGACCAUAAUGCAGUCGUUAUAACCAUUAAAAGAUAUGUCUAUGAAUAUCAGGAUUGGUAACUUGUUUUCAUACACCUAUGCAACAUAAAAAAAAUGUCUUGCUUUCUAUUACUUCUGAUACAGGUUAGUGAUUCAUAAUAGAUAGUGAGCAUUUUAUUUUUAACACAAUGCUCAUAUAGGUUGAUUUUAUUUUAUUUUAUUUUUGUCAAUGCUCAUACAGGUGGAUUUUUUUUUUUUUUUUUUUUGUGUCGCAGAUAAAGGGCGACAAAACUAUAUGCUUGUAUGGUGGAGAGGACAUUGACUGGAUUCGGCGAUUCACAACUACUGUGCGAAACAUUGCAAACACAUUGCAAGUUCCCUUGGAAAUGAUUUAUGUGGGAAAGAGCAAUCCGAAGGACAAAGUAAGAAGAUGCCAUGAAAUCAUUGACAGGGAGAAACUUAGCCACAUUUUUCCAUUGAAGGACUUUUAUGAUUAUGUUUGGUACUUCUGGGUGAGGCUGGCGAGCAUGUGGAACUCCAAAAUUCAACAUGGCAUGACCGUUGAGACUGAUAAAAUAAUGCAGGAAAUCUUUGCAAUGCUAACGUACGAUGGCAGUGAACAAGGAUGGGCUGUAUUCAGCAGGGGCAUUUAUGACAUGACUAAAGGAAAAGGUGACAUUUUGCUUACAGUUCUUGACAACUUUAGACAAUGGCAAGAAAAAGUGGAUCACCCCGAUAAGUUUGUGCCUAUACUGGACGCGGAGAUCAGUGGUGUCCACCUCGAACACCACUGCAAUCGUCUCAUUCUGCCGGGGCAAACUGGAUACAUUCCGGAGAGGGUAGUUUGCUCCGAAUGUGGACGUACCAUGGACAAGUAUGUCAUGUACCGCUGCUGCACCGACUAAUCUGCAGUACUAUUACUACUACUAUUAUUAAGGCUUUUGCUGCCAUUAUAUAUUUCAAAAUAAACUUUUAUCUUCUGUAUUUUCAUGGCUUUUCCUUCUCAACCUAGAUGAUAUGUUGCUUGUAAGGGAAAGCGAAUAAAAGUGUGGAACUCUUUAUGAAAGAAUUUGAAAUUAAGCUUGGGAAUUCAAGCAUAUAUAUGAGUUUAAAAUUAAUAAGGAUCGAUUCAGAUGUCUUGAAUUUGAAACAAAGUUCUUAUGUGAACAAUGUAGAUGAAAGAUUUAAAUGGAGUUGUCCAAACCUUUAAAAUUAAGUUCAUUGCGGUGCCCUAAGAACAAUUUAUUCGACUAAAACACUAUAGUACAGAACCACAAAACACCGUCAAUAUUUCAGGCCACAAGAUUACUGUAGUAGGAGGAUUUUUUAAUGUUUAUCAUUAAUCUUUCAUUCCAAAAGGAUCACAGGAAUCAGAAAAGAAGAUGAAGAAGAAAAAGAUUAGAGAAACCUCUAGACACUGGGGCUACUCAAUCAAGCACAAUCCAUGUGUAAGGCAAGGCUAUUUUUUCUCUAAUAAAAUGAUACUUCACGUCAAUAUACUUGGACCUCUCAUGAUAGAUAUAAUUUUUACUCAGUAACAAUGCACUUGCGCUAUCGGUGAGUAUAAUAGGAGAAUCAUGCCAAAAAUUCAAUUUUUCUCCGAUCAUUGUCACCAGGAAAACAGCAACUACAUAUGCUUUAAGUGUUAGUUUAUCUGGCCUUUUUUCAUAAACAAGACUAGGAUUUAAUUUACCAACAAUGUAUCUUAAAAAUCAUUUUAAACCAGCGCAAUGUGAGUUUUCAGGGUUGGACAUAAAUUUACUCAAGAAGCUAAUAGCGUAGGCUAAAUCAGGUCUGAUGGUUAUCAUGAAAAACAUUAUAGAUCCAAUAGCAUUUUUCUAAGGGAUGUUACUCAUUUAAUAUUUCCUUUUUUCCUCAGUUUUAGGUGACUAUGCUGUGGGGACAUAUACAUAUGUGUAGCAAUCAGGACAUGAGCAGAUUUUAGCUUGCUUCAAGCAAAUUUAUUUAUUACUUUGUCCAAAUAAGGUUAUUUGCAUAAUAGUUAACUUGUUUUGAGACAUAUUUCUGUCAAUAACCAUACAUAAAAUCUUUUUGGCAUUCUCGAAAUCUUUCAUGUCAUAUUUAAUUUUAAAAAAGGUUCUUAAAGUUUUAUGAUUUCUAAUUUACUUAAGCUUGCAAGUAAUAUGUUAUCCAUGUAUAAAAGCAAAUAAACAUCACAACCAAGUUUACUACUGUUAUAGUACAGACGGACAUCAUAUUACUUCUUUUAAAACCAAUUUUAAGGACAUAUGAAUCAAAUCUCUUACACCACCACUUAGGACUUAGUUUUAGACCCUACAUCGUCCUUUCAAGUUUGCAUACAAAGUCAAUUUUUUGCUUCACCUCAAAACCUUGAGGCUGAGUCCUAUAGAUAUUUUUCUCCAAUUCACCAUGAAGAAAAGCAAUUUUAACAUCUAGUUGUUUCUGUUUUCAAUUGAAUUGAAUAACAAGAGCUAAAGCUAGUCUGAUUGUCUUAUAUUUAAUCACAAGUGAAAAUAUCUCACUAUAAUCACACUUUCCCCUUGAGUAAAACCUUUAAAAAUAAGCAUGAUUUUAUAUCUCAAAUGAUCGAUGGAGUGUUACCCUCUUUCAAUUUGUAAAUCAAUUUACAUUGUAUAUCAUUUGAUCCUUAGGCUUUUUAACUAAUUUCCAGGUUUUAUUAUUUGCCCUUUUUUAGUUUAUAGAUUUUGGCCCAUUCAUUGCUUCUUCAAAAGAUGAAAUUUUGAAUGUUCAAUAUGGCGUCACCUGAAACUAGGGUAAAGUGAGUUAAGUUCUGGGAUUUAUAUCUAGGAUUUAGUCUAACAUAUCUCCUUUCUCUAUAUCUAACAAUUUGAUAAUCCUGGAUAUAUAGUAGUAUCUUUAGUGACAGGGAUGUCAUUUUCAAGUUCAUUUUCUUAUUGAGGUUCAUUUACCUCAUCAACUAUAGGUUUUGUUUUAUGUUCUCAUGUUAGAGGAAUGAUAGGUUCAUUAUUCUCUACUUGAGUGAAGUUAUACUUAUUCAACUUCACCUCAAUCUGAAGUUUAUUUAAAGUUUAAGAUUCCCCUAACCUAUCAUCUUUUUCUUUUAGACAUUGCUUCUCAGAUUCAUUGAACACAAGAUCCCUAGUGACAAUGUUCUUUUGCCCUGUACCCCUAAAAGCCAAUAGGCUAUAGCCUUUGACCACUUCAAGAUAGCCCAACAUAAUACAUUUAGUGGCUCAAUGUUCCAACUUUCCCUCAAUCCAUUGUGCAUAAGUAACACAUCUAAAUAUUCUACUAUGUGCUAAAUUUGGUGGCUUUUCAAUCCAUAGUUCUUAAAGAGAUUUUAAACUCGACAGAACUGGAUGGAGAUCUAUUAAGUAAGUUUCAAUGCAUACAGCCCUAGCAACUUUUAUUAAGUCCAGAAGUGAUUGGCAUACAUUUAUCCUUGUUCAUCACGGUCCUAUUCAUUCUUAACUGUUAUGUACCUCAUUAUUCACUUCUGUUUACAAAAAUCAUCUAAUUCAAAAUUACAAAACUCAAAACCAUUAUAUGUUCUUAAAUUUUUAUCUAAUUGAUUUUCAACUAUCUUAAGCCAUGUCCUUAUUUUUUAAAAUGUUUCAUUUGCCUUUAAUGAAUAAAUCCACACCUUUUUUUUUUUUUUUAUAAUAAGCCGCAAGAGACAGAAAGUAUCUAUUCUCAUUAAAGGUGGAAUUUUUCUCUUGUCACUGCAAAUUUGUAUGGAUAUAGUCUAGGGAUCUUUUAGUACUAUGUGAACAUAUCUCAAAACUCACCUAGUGAAAUUUUUCCUACACAUGUUUCACAAAAAUUCAAUGGUUCAAUUAAAUCAUUCCCAAGUAAUUUCUAAUUACUUAAAGAUUUUAGACCCUUAUUUCCAAUGUACCCGAUUCUAUUAUGCCAAAGACUAGAUUUAUUUUCAAUUAUAGUAAAUAGAACAAUAUCUUGUGAAGUAACUGUAUCACCCACAAGAUAGUACAUUCUAUUUCUCUUAGUCCCUUUCAUAACAACUGAUGAUCCUUUCACAAACUUUAAUGUGUUAUUUUCAUAUUUAAAGACAUGCUCUUCAACUUCAAGAAUCCCAAUGAGAUAAGGUUUCUUUACAGAGUAGGCACAUAUCGGCACUUUAUUGUUCUGACAAUGACAUCAUGCAUCUUGAUGGCGAUGUCACCAAUACCAAUUAAUGUUUAUGAAUUAUUAUCUACCAUACACUCAUUUCUAGGUUCUAUUUCUUUAUAAUUGUAAAACCUAUACCUAAUAUGAUACAUAUGGAAUGUACACCCUGAAUCUAAUAUCCAGUCUCUAUAAAUUUCAUCACUAGAUAGUCAUCACAUGCUAACUAUCUAAUUCUGUAUGAACAUCAGCAUAUUUAAUUGUACAUUACUAUGUUCUUUUUUUUUCUUUUUUUUUUUUCUUUUUUUUUUUUUUCACUCAUAGCAAUCUCUUUUAAAGUGUCCUAACUUACCACAACCAUAGCACAUUUUAUUGCUUUUAUCCUUAGAUUUGGACUUUACCUUAGACUUUUCCUUUCCCUUUUUUUUUUCUUUGAAAGUUAUUAUCCCUUUUCUCACUUCUCACUAUUACAAACAAGACCUCUUCUCUAAAGUUAGCCUUCGAUUGUUUCCUAACCUCUAACUCUUUUGAUCUCAGGGCAUUUAUUACAAUUGCUUAUUUAAAUUUGUCUGCAGAGUAUUUUAUUGCAUUUCUCACAUUCUUAUAGGAAUCUUGUAGAGAAUUCAUCAAAAUAACGACUAGAUUAUCAUCUUCAAAAUUUUCUCAUUGCGUGCUAAGCUUUUCAUGAUAGUACUAAAGUCACUUUAAUUUACUUCUAAGUCUUUCCAUGGGCGGAUCUUAAAACAAAACAAUUUUUCCAAAAAGAUAAAUCCUAUUUGUGAAAGUCUUAGUUAGGAAUAAAGUGUCAAGUGUAAUCUAGAAAGCCCUAGUAGUUUUGGCUUCAUCUACUUAUCUAACAAUACAAUUAAAUAGAUGCAGGAUCAAAGAGCUAUAUACAAUCUCAUUCAUUCCUUCAAUUUCACUUGGUUUUGCCUUCCAUUCACCAGAAAAUGUUACAUGAUCUUCAAGGGCUUUUGCCAUCUUCUGUUGGACUAAUAUAACCCUCAUCUUUUUCUUCCAAAUCAGAUAAUCCCCAUAUCCAUUGAAUUGUCGAGUUUGACCCGAACCCAUGACAGAUUCUGUAAAAGGAUGGAUCGAAUUCGAGGUCAUCUCAGAAAAAGAGUACCGCACACUAAAAAUUAAAGAAACGGCAUUAUUGAAAAAUUAAGAUAUGAGAAUUAUCUAAAAAGAUGUACAGAAAAAACAACAGAUAUAACAUUUCAAGAAAUCUUGCACAUACUGAAAAAGGUCUAACCUAAUAAUUGUUGAAAAACGGUCCAAACAUCUGAAAUCUAGUAAUGAAGCCAACAAACUCAGUCAAAUUUGCAGCGGACCAGUGAGACAAUAUACAGUAUCAAACACACACUUGAUGUUCCAAAAAAAAAUUUUUGAACUAAAAAUCCUAUAUUAUAUGGAUCUUUUCAAGAUCUACACGAAUAUAGAAAUGGUUUUAAAGAAAUAGAUUUCUAUUAAAAAAAAUUUCUCAAAUGAACUUACCGAGAAGCCUUAAAAGGCUCUAAUACCAAUUUUGUUGGGAAUUCGCCCCUUAUAAAACGAUUUGAUGAUGAACAUAACAAUGACACACACACACGACACCUAAGAACACGGAAUUGCUCACCUAGUUUAGUAAAAGUUGCUUGAUUUGGAUAGCUCAGAAAUCAGCCUGUUACACAAGGGAAAUGCUAUGUGUACACCUCAUGGUGUACACAAUGCAUUACAUCCUUCUCACAUGGAGAGGGGCCCACGAAUAUUUUAUUGUGUGUGGGCCCCCUCUAUGUGAGGGAAGUGUAAUGCUAUGUGUACACUAUUAUGUACACAUAGUAUUUUCCGUUCCACAAUGUGCAAACAACUACCUUAGAGAGAGCAUGAGUAUAUGACCAAAUUAGAACCAGUUUUAGUCUCAGAUCCAAAAGGAUCUUCUAAAACUAAACAAAACGAACAAUCUAUUUUACGAAAACACUCCAGUACAUAACCACACAAUACUAGCAACAUUUUUGGCUACAAGAUUACUGUAGUAGGAAGAUUUUACAAGGCUUAUCCCUAAUCUCUCAUUCAAGAAAGAUCAAAAGAACUACAAAAGAAGAAGAAGACGAAAGAGAGAAAACUCUAGAGACUUGAAAGUUAGAAAACCCUCAAUGAUUUUGCUGUAUCUGAUAAUUUUGCAUGUAAUUCACAUUCUCAACUAAUUAAGUAAAAAGACUGUCUACAUUACAAUCAACGCUUUCAUGAUCCCUCCACAUUGAUUAUAUCUUGGCUUAACUACUUGCAAUGCAUUAAUUAUCUGAUCUAUUUUUGAGCUAAAGUUACUAACUGUGCUGGGAUUGUUGUCAGUGUGUCAACCUCGUGUGUAUUUCAAUAAUUUUCUUUCCACCCGAUCUUUUUGUUAUCCACAAUGCACUGUUGUAUGCUAGAUUUUUCAUGAUUUGAUACAUUUGAUCCGUUAUCGAUUUUGUAAUUGACCCAUCAUAGGCAAAGUCAACAUUAUCCCUGCUUGUCGGGUUCAACCCGAUGAAUUCUUGGAACCAUUUCUGCAAACCAUGUUGUGGGCAUUGUCUUAAUAGUCCUUUGUAUCUUUCCCAUGCUUCGUAGUAGCACUCUAAAUCAAGUUGAGAGACUGAUGUUAUGGCUUGGUUUCAUUUCUUAACCUGACAAUUCUCUUUGGCAGAAAGUAUUUAUUUAAGAGCUUCUAACUUAGAUUGUUUCAAGUGAUGGUGCUAUGAGGUAAAAAUGCGUCAAACCACUUCCUAGCCAAAUCUCUUAAAGUGUAGAGAAAGAGCCUGAACUGAUUCCCAUCAGUGAAAACCCCUGGAUAUCCAAUUGUUACACACAUAUCCAAAAAUCUUGAGAUAUGAGCAUUUGGAUUGUUAGUGGGUCACCCAGAGAAUUGUAGUGCAUUCUAGAAAAAAAUUAUCACGUUUGUCCUCAAUCGCUAAUUAGCUUACUCAAAUGCUAGAUAAGCUAUGCUAGAUCUACUUUCUGCCACAGGUGAACUCAUGUAUUCUCCCAUCAGUCUCUCAUUUUUGUUCCCUGCAUUUACAACCGAAUGUACUGCAUUGUCGUUCAACCAAACGUCACUUGAUUCUAUAUGUCUUCUACCAUUGGUUUUGCUUGUUGUUUUUGGUGUACUUCUAUCUAUUUUUUUUUUUUUUUACUCUCGACUUGAAUGUUCAUUCAACUUCAAGAUCAAAUGGAGUGAGAUCAUCGUGUUUUGAACGUUGCAUAUAAGGUACUGAAAAUAAAGAUGGAAAACAAUGUAAUAUUUUUCUAAUAUGAACUUAAACUAAUAAAGCAAUAAAAAUUCAGAGUAAAAUUAUAACUAGCGAAAACUAAUUAAAUUCUAUAGUCUCGACAAUGGCGUUAAAAACUUGAUUGUUAUAUUUCUCACAAGUGUACAAUAUCGAAAACAAGUAAUAGAGUGAUGAAUAAGAUAUUGUUCCCAUGAGGAUCACUUAUUUAAUAAAUGAUUAAUUACUUUCAACUUUAAUUGAAUAGCCAAUUUUUUUUUUUUGAAUUGUUUAAAUUAAUUUAUCUAAUUAAACUAACAAUUAAAGGGGGCAAAUUAUAAGCUUUGUAAAUUUAGAUGAGAUGGUUACUAAGACCUCGAAGCUCCUUUCUUAGUCCAUUUCAAUGUAAUCAAAUAACACAACAAAAUGUGCACAUUAUUGUUCAUCAAUGUUCCUUAGUUAAGCAAAAGCAUCUCUCAAUAUCAAUUAAAUCAAUAAUCUCAUGUGACUCUCAUAUAUCUCUAUGCAAGAUGCGAACAUGAAAGCAUAUAUUAAAUAUACUAUAAUACUUAUAAAUAUCAUAUUAAGUAUAGUGAUAUAUUUCCAUCCUCUAUCGAACUUUACAAUGAAUGUUAUAGAGUUCUUUUAUCUCUAGAUUAAUAAAUUUCACAAUCAAUCCAAUUAGUGAUCUAGUAAUUGAGAAACCAUUAAAUUUUAUAACAAUCAUCCAAGAAUAAACAUAUGUUGUGCAUCAAGUUAUUGAAUUUAUAUUAAAACAUCAUAUUAAGGGUUCAUCAAUGUCUACAAAAACACAAAAAAAUUAUAAUUAAUUGGAAGAACAUAACAUAGAUUAUGGUUAAAUUGAAAGGAAGAAGAUGAAUCUUGAAAUAUUUUGUUUCUACAAUGGAUUCUUGAUGAGUCUCAAAUUGUUUCUUCUCAUCCUUUGUCCAAUGAUCAUGGUUGAGUCUUCAAAGAAUUGAAAUCUUGCAAUUACCUCUUAAUUAUCUCAAAAGAUCUAUGAAUUGACCUCUCUUUGGUAAUGAUAAUUGAUGUAUAAUAGUGUACCAAUUUUUUGAUUUUUGAUUUUUUUAUGCGUAUUUAUAGAUCUCAGAAAUGGGUAGAAAAAUGCGUCCAAAAUUCUAUUGAAGAUGAAUUCUAAUGAAAUCGUGAAUUUACCUGAAUUUGCCGAAAAUCGGUCUAGGACCCGGGGGAUCUCCCAGGCAUAAAUAUUUGUCCUCGUUGUUAUUGCCCAGCCUAACUUGCACUCAUAGCCGUAGGUAUUUUUAUCAUAAUUUUCUCUUUUCGUAUCCAAUUGAGGCACUUUAAAUUGUGCUGAAAGCUAACUCAAAAUGCUACAAUUUUAUUAGAAAUAGUAUUUUUCUAAGUCGAAUGUUUACUAUGCCAAAUAUAAGUCUCAAUUUCCAAUUAAAAAUCUGGAACAUAACUUGUACAGCUGGAAAUUGAUUUGUAAAAAUAUUUUUAUCUUAUUUCAUUAUUUUUACUCCUAAUUGCUUCCAAUGGACUCAUUACAAUCUUUAAUUACCAUUUUAUGGUCCGAAUGAACUAUGAUAAAGUUAUAAUUAGGUCCUCAAACUUUGAAUUUCUCCAUUUUCGUUUCUUUGUUUCAAUGCAAUUUUCAAUCAUUGAGUUUACUUAAUAAAAAAAAUACAAUAAAUAAUUAAUCAAAAGAACUUCGAAAUGUUAGUAUUUUAAGGUCCAAAUAAGUGUAUAAAUUACAGUUAUCACUUAGCCUUUUAUUUUACUUCUCUUCCGCCUCUAGAUGGUAUAAGUUCUCUUUUAUCAUAAUUUGUUUUAUUUUUUAUUAAUAAAUCAUUCACUUAGGGUCAUAAAAAAAAAAUAAAAAAUAGCCCUCUGUUUUGGUCUUCUUAAGAAUUAGAAUGUAGGAACAAUGAUUUAUAUAUAUGCCUUGUUUCAUAUUUUCAUAUGACUUUAUACUCUGUUUAAUAUUCUUUCCUGAUUUUGUUUUAUGUUGUAAAGAGUGUUGGUCUUGAAACUACACUUUGGAAUAUUAUAAAACCUCAUUAGGUCCACACUAUCCAAAUUGCAAAAAAAAAAAAUAAUAAUAAAUAAAUAAAUAAAGUGAUAAAAGAAGAGGUUUUUGUCAAAUAAAACUUGUUUCGUGAAACAUCAAUUUCAUGUUGUUAUACAAUUUCUUUAAAUUAUGAUGGCACCAUUAGAUUUGGUAGUAAUUAAUGGCAUUAGGAAUUUUGUGCUCUAGAUGAUUGGACCGAUCAAGAAGAGGAGAAUGUAAUGAAAUAGCUUUUGAACUGUGGACCAAACUUGAAAAUUAAUAUAUGACUAAGACAAUCCCAAACAAUUGUUAUUUGUUAAAACAGCUCUUUUAUUUCAAAAUGGAACCCUCAAUUGAUUUGCAUGACAACUUGAAUAGAUUUACUAAGUUGACCUAGAACCUGGCCAACUGUGAUGAAAAACUUUCAAAAGAUCAACUGGUUAUGGUCUUGUUGAACUCCGUUAGUGAUAAAUAUAGAGACAUUAAGAUUGCCUUAGAGCAUGGUAGGGCAAACCUUACUACUGAUGUAAUCAUAAAUGCCCCCAAAGAAUAAGCUCUAGAGAUCAAAUCUGAAACUAAGGAGAAUUACAAUGGAAACACUUUGCUAGCAAGGGAAAAGGGUUUUAUUAUACCUAAUUAUCACUAAGACUUUAUUUGAGAUAAACAUAAAUGGAGUGACAAAGAGUAAGUCUAAAAAUAAGGCUAACGGUAAGAAAUGUUUCUAUGUGGGAAACAGAUUCAUUUCAUUAAAAAUUGUUAUAAAAAGAAAAAUGAAUCAAAAGAAAAUAAACUUUAUGAUGGGAAUGCUGCCUUAGUGUAUAGUAAAUAUAAGAUUGAAGAUGGAUUGGUCCUAGUUAAUGUCAAAAAGAAGUUGAAUCAAGGAUCCAAUGGAUUCUUGAUUCAUGCUGUUCUUUCCAUAUAUGCCCUAAUAAUAAUUGUUUUCUCGAAAUUGAAAAAACAACUAGUGGGUAAGUUAUAAUGGGUUGUAAUUGACCUGCAAAGUAAGUGGAAUAGGAACUAUUAAACUGUUGCUUGAAAAUGGCAAGGGCCUAUUUUUGAAAUGAACUAAAUAUGUUCCAGAAUUAGAGAUAAAUCUGGUGUCUCUAGGCAUGUUAGAUGAUAUGGAGUUUGACAUUAAACUGGAUCAAGGACACAUUAAAAUUCUUAGGGGCAAUGAGCUAGUCAUUAAGACCCCUAAGAGACAUGGCCUUUAUUUUUAUAAAGCAAAAUCUUUACUUGGCUUGACUGUUGUUACUUUAACUGAAAAUUUUUCUUUUGCAAAAUUAUGGCAUGAAAGAUGUGGUCGCAUUGGCAAGAAAAGUUUGAAAGCUAUAAAAAAUAAAAGAGUUUUUGGAAAUCAGAAUCUUGGUGAUAUUGGUCCUAGUGAACAAUGUGUGAUAGAUAAACAAGUUAAGCUUAAUUUUUCACUUGGAAUUCAUAGAUCCAAAUAAAUAUUUGAGUACUUGCAUGCCAAUUUGUGGGGUCCUGCAUCUUUGUGUACUCUAUCUAGUUCCAAAUAUUAUCUUUUGAUUAUUGAUGAUUUUUCAAGAAAAAUCUGAGUUUUCUCAUUAAAAUCUAAAGAUUCCUCUUUCUUUUUUUUUCUUUUUUUUUUUCAAAUAUUGAAAAACACAAUUUGAAAACCAAACUGAUCAUAAGAUUAAUAUUUUGAGAAAUGAUAAUGGUUUGGAGUUCUGCAAUUAUAAAUUCAAUAAUUUUUAUAAAGAGCAUGGCAUAUUAAGACAUAGGACUCUUACUUAUACCCCUCAACAAAAUGGCAUAGCUUAGAGAAUGAAUAGAACUUUGUUAAACAAGGUAAGAUGAAUGUUUUUGAGUUCAGGUUUACCUAAAUUAUUUUGAGAUGAAGCUGUAAAUAUAGCUGCAUAUCUUGUGAAUAGAACUCCCACUAGUGCCCUUAAUUUUGAUGUACUUGAAGCUAUAUGGUCUAAAAAUCCUGUUGAUUAUUCUCACCUAAAAUUUUUUGGAUGUGCUACAUAUGCCCAUCAAAAUAUUGAAAAGUUAGAACCUAGAUCACUUAAGCCCUUGUUUGAGCCACAUUAUUAUAAUGAAAAUGCAUUUUUAAAUAGUAUAUUGAAUGGAAAUGUAUGGUUAAAAAAUAAGGAAAAGUUUUAAAUUUGUGUGAAAUACUAUUUUAUUGAAAAAUGUGUGGUUGAAAUGAUAUCAAAUCACUAUUGAAAAAUGUAUUUUUUUAAAAAAAUUGUGGCACAAAUAGGGCCUAAAUAUGUUUUCUUGGGUUAUGUUGAAAAUGUAAAAGGGUACAGUUUAUUGGUUAAAAAUGAAUGAGGAUAUAAGUUAAUUGUUACAAGGGAAGUUGUUUUUAAUAAAUCUAUUAUGCCUUGUUUAGAGGGAAAAGAAAAUAAUUUGACUAGAGAAGAUGUUCAAAUCGAGGUGAAGUCUCCUCAUACUGAGAGAGAAACUCCUGCGCUAGUUAUAACUGAAACUGGUACUGUUGAAAAUGACAGUUUUAUUGAAGCUGAAAAUGAUCUAGUCAUUAAUACUAAUAGUGAGACAGAUCUAUCUACUUUUCUCAUCGAUGAAUAUCAACCCACUAGAGAUAGGGAAAGAAGGCAAAUUGAACCACCUGCUAGAUUUGACUGUUAUGACUUUGUUUCAUUGUUUACCUAUCAAGAAAAUUUUAAAAUGAGCCAAGCUCCUAUGAUGAUGCCAUAAAUGUGUUUACCUAUCAAGAUGAAUUGGUUGAAAAGCCUAAGGUUCAAAAACUUCUUGAUUGCAAGUGAAUUUGUAAAAUAAAAGAAGGGGAAGGGAAAAAUAAAAAUGUGAGAUAUAAGACUAAACUUGUAGCCAAAUAUUUUACACAAAACAAAGGUUUAGACUAUAGUGAUUGUAAAAUACACCACUAUUAGAUAUAUACUUGCUUUAGUUGCUCAAUUUAAUUGGGAACUUGAUUAGUUAGAUAUAGAAACUACCUUUCUUUAUGGUGAUUUAGAAGAAAGAAUUUAUAUGAGAUAGCCUACUAGUUUUAUAAAAGGAAAUCCUAAAAAUAUUUUUUGUCUUUUAAAGAAAUCAUUGUAUGGUUUAAAACAAACUUCUAGGCAGUGGUAUAAAAGAUUUGACUCUUUUGUUUUAAAAAUUGGUUUUUAAAGAAGCAACUAUGAUAAAUGUCUAUAUUGCAAAGCUAAAGGAGGUAAAAGUUCUCGUUAUUUAGUACUUUAUGUGGAUGAUAUAUUAUUUGCGAGCUGUGAUAAAUCUGAAAUUAAAUAUAUCGAACAAAAAUAUAAAUCUGAGUUUAAUAUGAAAGGCCUUGGGGCUGCCAAAAAAGUUCUUGGUAGGCAAUUUUAUAGAAAUAAAGAGAAAGACAUGUUAUUUUUAAACCAACAUGAUUAUGUGGUUAUAAUUUUGAAAAAAGUUUAACAUGUUUGAUUGUAAACAUGUAACUUUGCCUCUUGCUAACUAUUUUAAAUUGUCAUCUAAGUUCUGUCCCAAAAAUGAUGAAGAAUUUGAUAGAAUGUCAAAAUUACCUUAUGUUAAUGUAGUUGGAUUUGUUAUAUAUUUUAUAGUGUGUACCAGACCUAAUCUUAAUUUUAGUAUUAGCAUACUUACUAGGUUUAUGAGUAAUCCUAGGGAAGAACAUUGUAAUGCUUUAAAAUGGUUACUAAAAUACUUGAAGGAUACAUCAAAUCUGGGUCUUAUGUUUAGAAUGAACAAAGAUGGGGUAAAUUUAAAGGGGUUCAUUGAUUCUUACUCUACUGGACAUAGGAAAUCAACUUCAUCCAACUUCUUCAGUUCAUGUGGUGCUGUAAUCAGUUGAAAAUCUCAAUUGCAAAAGAAUAUGGCCCUAUCCUCAACUGAAGCAGAAUACAUUGUUGCUUCUGAUGCAUUUAAAGAGGGUAUCUGGUUAAGUGGAUUGCUAAAGGAACUUAGUUUUUUUUAUUUAUUAUGAAAAUGCAAUUCUGUAUUCUGAUAACUAAAGUGCCAUACACUUAAUUAAAACCCCCAUAUUUCAUGAUCGGACUAAACAUAUAGAUAUUAAGUAUCUUUUUAUUAAAGAAGUAAUUUCAAAAGGAAUUUUGAAAAUUGGCAAAAUAACUACUCAAUAUAAGCCUUCUGAUAUGGGAACAAAGAUAAUACCUUUAAACAAAUUUUAGAACUAUUUGAAGAUAUUAUGAAUUGAUACUUUGUAAUGUGUUACAGGUACAUGGACCGAAUGAAAUGAAAGAAUGUAAUAUGCUCCUAGCUGCAUUAUGGACUGAAACUGUGGUAGUAAGAUGGAGAUUGUUGAGACUCGAAACCUGGUUCUAUUGUGCUCCCAUAUUUUUUUAGAUAAAAAGGCAUUUCUAAAACAUGCUUUUAUAAAAUGACAGUUUUCACUGGAUGAUGACGUUAGCAUUUUACUUGCCAUUGGAUGAGGCAAUGGUCGUGCUGAUAUAAAUAUGACUUGGACGGUUCAUUUAGCAAGAGAUUUUCAUUUCUUAUGGCUUUUCAUUUUUGAGAGAGGUUCGAGAGAGUUCUCUUCAUUUCUGUGGCCAGGGUUUUCUAAUCUGCCAUUAUAGUUUGAGCUUCUCAUUCGAAGUGAUGGUUUUUGAUGUUUUAGCCUUAGAAUACAUGUGUUUUAUUGAGUAAAAUUUAUAAGAACAAGAGGGUUCUUAUGUUUUGAGUUUGUGAAGGAGAUCUGUUGAUUCUUGUGUGAUUCGAGUCAGAUAUGUUGGUUUCGUGUGAAGAAAUAAGUCACAUGUACUAUAUUCUUGUGUUGGCUGAACAUUUGUAACCUUUGUUGCCAAUUUUAAGGCAUUUUAGUACAAUCAAGCUAUGUCCAUUCUUGAAUGGAGGCUCAACAGGGGAUUUAGUGUUAAAAGGGUCACUAAACCUCUAGGGCUACGGUCGAAAAAUCUUCCUUGUUCAAUCUUUUAAUUUUUGCAAGUUUUACUUUCUAUUGCGUUAUUGAUUAAAUGUAUCUUGUGAUUAAUAUUGUGUGUCUGGGCCUUUCAAUUUUUCCUAUUUGGAGUUGCUAUAAUCCCAAGCAUCAAGUGAAGGAGAUGCACAAUAUUAAUUACCAUUCUAUUUAGCAUCUUAGAAUUACCAAAUGUCCUAUCUUAGUGAUGUGAACCCGGAUAGUUAGAUUGCUAUUAAACCCACAAAAGAAUGACACAAACCCUAAGAAAGCUAGAGAAUCAAAGUUUAUGGAAUUUGACCCAAAAAUUAGUGAACCAAAAAACCAAUACAAGCACACGGAUAUAUAAAUCUUUUGAUUACACAAUUAAAGAAAUCAAACUCGUAAUUUAAAGAUUGACCUGAAGAGUUAAAUGAACAGAAACCAAAGUAAUUACUAGAAUACCUUGACUCCAUGAUUGCACAACCCAUGAAUCACACUUUGAUAGGUAAACGCCACGAGAAAUUAUCCCGAUAAGUUCAAUAUAUUGUUCGCGAAGAACAAAGAAGGAAGCAACAUUGCCUCUGAUUAAUUCAAUAUCACAAAACUCUUGUCCUACAAUGAAGAAAUAAAUUCCCUAUUUAUACUAGAAACUAUUAAACCUUAGAUAAUAAUUUAAAAUGGAAUAAAACUCUAAAAAUCCUAUUUUAAAAAAGUAAACACAUCCAAAUGAUGGUAAAUAUCUCAAAAGGUAAGAACUUUAAUUGCAUAAAGUAACUGCCCAAAAAUUUGGAAUUCCCGUCCAAACAUGUCUCUAUGCGAAUCACAUCAUUCCCUCUCUUCAAAAGGAUUUCGACCUCGAAUUCGAACCUUGAUCUUCCUUCCAAUGUGAGUUGAAUUCUUAGUAAUUGGUGGUGCAUCCAAGAUCAUAUCAGACCCUCCCUCUUCAAGAGGAUUCAUCCUUGAAUUCGCACCUAGUUCAUAUACGGUGCUCCUUCCAUUGGCUUGACCUUUAUCCAAACCUUGCUUGCGAAUUCGAUACUCCGCCAAAUGGUUGUUGAAUGUGCCUUCAAUGCCUAAAAAAUCCUCCAAUGGAAAUGCAUCAAUUGGAUAUUCAAAUGGAGACAUUCCUUUGGCAAAAUCCUCGUGCAAUAAAGUUUCAUAAUCCUACAACAAAGAACUAUACAAACUGGGGAGGGAUAUGCUAGCUUUCAUCAAAUCAUUUCCACCACCAAGCUCACCCUUCUUUGCAAACAAGCUCUCUUUUAGUUUGUCUUUCAAUUUCUCCUCUUCUCUUUUCAACCUCAACUGAUCAUCAUACACUUGUUGUGGUGUCAAAGGUACAAGUGUAAUAGUUUUUCCACCUAUGUCAAAACUAUACCUAUUUCUAAACCCAUCAUGCUUUACCUUCCUAUCGUAUUGCCAAGACCUACCCAAUAAUAAAUGCCCCGCAUCCAUAGGCACAACAUCAUACAACACUUCAUCCUUAUACCACCUAAUUGACAAAUUCACCAAUACCCUCCCAUUGACAUUAACCUCUCCUCGUUCAUCUAACCACUGCAAUUUGUACGGUUUAGGGUGCUUUGUCAUCUCCAAUCCUAAUUUCUUAACAAGUGUUUAGCUAGCUAUAUUAGUACAACUACCUCCAUUGAUAAUCAAAUUGCAUACCUUAUUAUUGGUGUGGCACUGUAUAUGGAAGAUUUUCUCUCGCCGCUCCUCUCCUUCAACCUUGAUUUGUGCAUUGAGUGCACACAUCAAGACAAGAGCUUCCCCUUCAACCAGAUAUUCCACUAAGUCACCAUCACUAACAUCUUCUAACUUGGGCAUUCCAUCUUUAUCACUAUCAUUCACCACUUUCCCACUGUUCUUCAAGAUCAUGGCUCAUUUAUUUGGACACUAAGAAGUAAUGUGUCCCGUUCCCAAGCACUUGAACAAUUGAUGUCCCGACUCCUGGAUUGUUGCGGUUCCUCCUUCGAUGCAACCUUGCUAGCAUUGUUAUCCAUUCUCCUAGGUGGCUCAAUUUUAUUGUUGACAACACCCCCAUCAACUUUCUCUUCAUCCCACCUAGACCUUCAAGAUGAAUUAGGCCCCUGUUGAUUCCUAGCUCCCACUUUCUCUUCAACUGCCUCUCAACCUUCAUUACUACAUGCAGCAUGUCCUUCGAUUUCACAUAAUGUUGCAAUUCAACAACAUUAGCAAUGUCUCUGUUCAAUCCAUUCAAAAACUUUGCCAUGGUGGCUUUUUGGUCCUCCUACACAUUAGCCCAAAUCAUCAAAAUUUCAAUCUUUUUGUGGUAGUCCUCCACACUCCUAGAACCCUAAUACAAACCCCGCAACCUUUGAUGAAGUUCCUUAUAAUAACGACCAGGUACAAAUCUCUUCCUCAUAACUGCCUUCAACUCAUCCCACGUACUUAUCGGUCUCCCCAUAUUCCUCCGUCAUGAAGUGACUACUGGAUCUCACCAAGUGAUGGCGUAAUCAGUGAACUCCAAGACUACAACUUUUACUUUCUUUGCCUCCGAAUAGUUAUGGCACUCAAAUAUAAAUUCCACCUUCUUCUCCUAUUCUAGGAGUGCCUCUAGAUCAUUCCUACCCCGAAAUGUCGGAAUGGACAUUUUUAUGCUACCCAUACCUUCAUUAACAUCACCUCUAGCAUUGUUUUUACCUCUUCAUUCAAACCUACUACCUUUAUUCCUUAUCCAUCCAACCUCUAAUUCUUCAAAUUUAUCAUCAUACCAUUUACUGCCAUACCCAUAUUCAUUUUACACAUCCACCCUAGGCUCUCGUCUAGCCCGUUGACCCCGGCUAAGGUUUGUAGCCAUCGCGUCAAGCCUCUACAACCUAUUUUCCAUAUUUAUCAUUAUCCACUCAAACUGCUGUACUAAGUCAUCCUGCAUGUUUUAAUUAUCGUUUUGGCUAGAAUUUGAUCAUUUCCUAUUAGACAUUGCUCAUAAUAUUCUAUCUUACCAAAGUUCACUUGGGAAUCACUCAAUAUUAGGCUUUUACCCUCAAUUGAACUAACCACUAAAACUUCCAAUCAAUGUUCAAAGAACAAUUUUUGAACUCAACCAGAAUGAUUCUCGUGAAAUUCCAAUUGAAUUGUGUAGAUUGAAGAUUAGAAAGGAAAAUGGACUAAAGUAUUAAACAGAAUUUUUGGAAGGACUCAAUUUUUUUUAGUGAACAAUACAGUACGGACUGCACGGUAUGGAUGAACAGUAACAAUAAUUUUUUUUUUGAAAAACACAAAACAAUUAGACUACUAAAAACUUUUAGAUUUAGGACUCAAACUUAAUGGGAAACACGAAGAACAAGGAAGAAAAACUCAAACAAAGACUCCAAAAAAAAAAAAAGAAAAAAAAAAAGGGAUAUAACUUUGAUUCUGAUGUCUAAGCUCUGAUAUCAUUUGAUAUAAACCCGGAUAGCUAGAUCGCUAUUUAAUGCACAAAAGAAUGACACAAACCUCAAGAAAGCUAGAGAAUUUGAAGUUUAUGAAAUUUGACCCAAAAAUUAGCGAACCAAACGACCAAUACAAUCACACAGAUAUAUUAACUUUUUGAUUAUACAAUUAAAGAAAUCAAACCCUAAAUUUAAAGAUUGACAAGAAGAAUUAAAUGAACUAGAAACCAAAGCAACUAUUAGAAUACCUCGACCCCGUGAUUGCAAAACCCACGAAUCGCACUUUGAUUGGUGAACGCCAUGAGAGAUUAUCCCGAUAAGUUUGAUAAAUUGUUUGCGAAGAACAAAGAAUGACGCAACCUUGCCUCUGAUUAAUUCAAUAUCAAAAGUCUUGUCCUACAAUGAAGAAAAAAAUUCCUUAUUUUUACUAGAAACUAUUAAACCCUAGAAAAUAAUUUAAAUUGGAAAAAUUUAAAUCCUAAUAAAUAAAAUUUUUAUAUUAUUUACAAAUAAAAAAUAAGAUUUUUUUAAAAAAAAUUGAUAAAUUCUAAAAAAUAAGAAAUUAAAUAUUAAAAAUAUAAAAUCAAAAUAUAAAAAGUAAAAUAAAAAUAGUUCAAAAUCUUAAUGAUUUUUUAUGUAAUAAUCCUAAAAAGUAUAUUUAAAUGAACGCAUAUAAAAUUUUUUAAAUCCUCGUUAGUAUUUUUAUUUUUAUUUCCUAUAUUUUAAACUCAAUUUAAGAUUUGAUAACACAGUAACAUAAACUUGUUCUAUUUUUACUAAAUAAUCGGAUUUCAUGGAAUAAAGUGUCAUAAAACAAUUUUUGAAAAUUUAAAACUAAACGUGUUUCCUAAUUUUUUGUUCUAAGAAAUACUUUUUCAAGAUGAAAAACUAAACGUAUUUUUAGCAAUCUUAAAAUAGACACUCAAAACAUAAAACUAAAAAUAAACUCAAAAUUCAAAACUCAAAAUUGAAUCACAAAUCAAACAGACCCUUAACCUUUGCUAAUGUAAGAUUGACGAUGCUAUAAAUGCUAGAUCCCCAUUAGGUGUUUCAUUUUUCUCAAAUAAAAUAAAAUGAAAUAAAAUAAAUAAAUUUCUUCAUAGAGAAUGUGCUACACUUUAUCGUUUAAAACUUAGCUCCUAUUUGGUAACCAUUCUUUAAAAACUCUUUUUUUUUAAUACUCAUUUUUAACCACACAUUCUCAUAAUAAAAUAUCUUCAUGUAAAUCCAUUUUUUUUAACCACACAUUCUUCAAAAAAUUACUAUUCAAAAUUUUUUAUUUAUUUUUAUUUUAUAAGAAAGGCUGGGCUUAAAAAGGUUGGAGAUUAACAUGUCCUUUCACUCAAAUUGGAUUCACAUUUUUAAUUUUUAAAAGACCAAACGCAAUUUUAUCAUAAUUAUAAGUAUGAAUGUAAAGUUAUGUUAAAAGAAAUGAAUUUUGAUCGCAAUUAGUAAUAGACCCACUAAUAGCUUUGUUCGGUUUGAUAAUUGAACCAAACUCCCCCCCCCCCCCCCCCCCCCCACNNAAAUCUAACUAUGCCCUACUAGCCCUUGUUUGAUGGUCAUUAUUUGAGGAAAAUAAUGUUUCGAAUAGUGACUUUUAAGAGAAUUUGUGAUUUAAAAGUAGACAAAUAUUUUGAGUUUAUAAACAGAAUAUGUUAUUCUAUGAAUGUGUGAUUUAAAAUUAGAAUGUAAAAGGAAAAAAAAAAAAAAUUAUCACGCCAGUUAAAAAAAAAAAAAGGAUAAAGUGCCAACUAUGAUUGAAAGUUCAGCAACUAAAUAGAAAAAUACUUUAAUUGCAAUAAAGUUCUUACUAUUUUUCAUUGUAGUAGUUAUAUUCCCAACUUUUUGUUUUUGGUUUUGUAUUUUAUUUUUGUUUUUUAAAUUUUGCAUGGCAUUCUUAUUGUCCAUCUUCAAUCAAUUAGAAAAUCUUGUCAUUGAUGCAGAUUUCGUCUAAAAAUCCAUUAGGAAGGUCUAUGAAACAUAUUUGCCCCUCAUACUUUUAAUUAGGUUAGAAAAGAAAAUACAAAAGUUUCAUAAGAUAUUUGCCCCUCUUUUCAAAGUUCACUAAUAGAAUAUUAGCAUUGGAACCGUAAUCAACAAAAAAAAUUAAAAAAAUAAAAUAAAAUAAAAUAAAAAAUUAAUUUAAGGCUAAUGAUAAUAAUGCAUUGAAAAAGAAUAACAUGACUGCAAUAGUGAGCAAAUAUUUAAGACCUCUACUGCAGUAAAGGGUUGGUGAAACAAACCAUAACUGUGGCAUUAAAACAAGAUGGCAUUAUAAACUGGGCUGGCUAAUAGUUUAUUUAUUUUAACACCACAAACAACAGUCUUCCCAAGACCAAAUUUUAUUGUUAGCUGCAAAUUCCUGCAGGCAUAAAUUCUCAAGUUGAGAGUUUUAACAAUUUCCAUAAGUACCCUAGUGCAUGCAAGAGAUCAUUUUUGAGUACAGAAUUGUAAAAACAUGGUUCAGAAAAGAUAAUGGAUAUACUAAGAAAUAUGUAUAAAGAUGAACGAGACAUAUUUCACAUGAAAAUAUUCAAAAUGUCCCAAAAUCUUGAUAAAGCUCAAUCUUUCACCGUGAAGUAAAAGAUUUGGCUGAUAAAUUUUUUUUAUAGAACUGAAUUCCAAAACCCCUACAGGCUGUAGACCACAAUGGAAGCAAGGUACCUGAUUCAAUUAGCUUUAUUAGCUAUAAAAGGGUUGGAGGGAACUCCAAAUGGACACCAAGACAAGCACUUGUUCUUCAAACAUAUUUGUUUCUAGUAAUCCCUCUUCGUGUUUGCAGUAAUGGCGAGCCGAGAUUUGGUGCCUACAACUAGGACCAACCCACUGUUGAGUGACAAGUCGAAGAAUCCUAAACCUCCUAUAACCACCCUUGGAACUCAGAGUCAUUUGAAUGAUCAUGAGAGUGAGAAACAGAAAAUGAGUCACGAUGAACUGGAUCAUCACAACCCUGCAGUUAGGCCUCUUAUGGGUGCAGCUCUGCCUCUGUCAGCAGGCAGAGGUCAUUUGAUGAAGGGUGAUCGCCACAUUUCAACUGAUGAUAUUGGUUUGAACAGGCAAAUUCUGGGAACACAUGCUCCAGAUCAUGAAGAUCUUGACGUGAAGCCCAUUCUUUCCAUCAUAGAGGAAAUCUUGCUUCGUGGCAAAUCUCUUGAAACCGUGAAUGUACAAUGCUAAUUAUCUUGUUUUGUUCAUUGCUACCCAAAUCCUCGAUGCCAAACAUGCUUUUCGUUUUUCUACGCUUUCUAGAGUUCACCUUUAGCUGCAUUUAACUGACACUUUUUUGUGUUUAUAAUACAGGGAGAUCAAGUUCCAGCACAUUCAGAAUCAUAUGAGGAGAAGUCCUUCCAAAAUGCUUACCAUGACUCGGAGAUGGUUAAAAUGUUGGCAUAUCCCAUAAACAAAAUUACGAAUGAGGUAUAGAGAAGUUUUCAUUCCCUCAUGCUCAAUCUUGAUUAUCUUAAAAGCAAAUCAUGCUUUAUUAGUCAAGAAACUUGUCAUAGAGGCAUUAUUAUCUUAAAUGUUAUUCUUAGCAUUAGUUUCAUGAAUGUUACAUAGAAUUUAUUUAAACUUCUAAUAGAGGCAUUACAGCAUAUAUAAGCGCCCUAAACUAGACAUUGUAUAUCAAUUGUCAACUCAAGAUUAUGAAUGUCUAAUGCAACAGAUAAUUUGCAAAUGUGCCGCUGGCGGAGAAGCACAUUCAGUAACCAUGGGACUCCUUGAGACACUGUCAAACUACGGGUGGGAUGCCAAGGCGGUCAUUACGUUUGCUGCUUUUUCUGUCAGCUACGGUGAAUUUUGGUUGGUUGAGAACCUUCGCGUGAUGAAUCCGCUUGCCAGGGAUAUUGCAGCUCUGAAGGAUAUACCAGAAACAAUGGAGCAGAAAGAAGAAAUGAAAAAGAAGUUUCAAGCUAUUGUCAAUCUUUUACGCGCUGUACUGAACGUGACUCACAUCAUUAUAAAGUUCAAGGAGCUCCCCACUCAAUAUGUGAACCGGGAUUCACCAGAAAUGAAAACUGCAACAGCUCACAUUCCGACGGCUGUUUAUUGGAUCAUAAGGAGCAUUCUGGCUUGUGCUUCAGUACUUCUGAACCUUAUUGGCGGUGGUCAUGAGUAUGCUUCUAUUUGUGUCUAAUUGACAAAGUAAAAGAAAGCAAGAAAGGUGAAUUUUAAAUGUACUGACAAUUGAAUAAUUUUGUUGGGGAUCAGGUUCAUUACAUCAACUGCUGAGUCCUGGGAGUUAUUAAGUCUAGCUAGUAAGCUCUCCCACAUGUCUGAGCACCUGCAGGAACAACUGAACAAAUUGAAUGAUUUUAUUGGUAAGUCACCAGCAAAUUAGAUUCGUUUGAAAUCAUUGUUAUGCCUAAACUCAAGAUAAAGUAGUCCUACAAACACCUAGUAUGGGUCCACCUUCUCAGCAUCGCAGGAACACCUCAGAAAAUUAGAAAAUUAGUCCCCAAAGAGACCUUCUUUACUACUUUUAACAUGCAGAGAAUCAGCGCACAACUUGUGCAUCUUUUCUUGAAUUAAAAUUAGUCCCCAAAGAGACCUUCUUUACUACUUUUACAGGGUGUGGGUUAAGAAAGACAGGAGAAAUUGAAACAUGCAGAUAAUCACCGCACAACUUGUACAUCUUUUCUUGAAUUAUUGUUACUCAUACCAUUACUUAAAUGAUUAUACUGUUGUACAGAUAGACAGUACCAAAAUAGGGAAUUUGAUGACAUGGUUAAUGCCUUUAGGGCAUCUCAUAUCGACAACAUGAAGAUAUUGAAGAUGAUUAUUCGUGCCAGAGAAAAUCAAAUGCCGAUCUUUGAUGGGACUAGACGGAUAAAUGUUGUCUCCUUGUCCCUAGUUCAUGAAUUUCUUGAUCCCUUCCAAUUAUGCCUAAAUGUGACCAUGUCUUUUAUGUUAUUCUGAUGACAGGAACGCCUCGAGGUAUUGAGAAUGAAGUAUGUCCUGCUAUUAGUUUCCGAUCUUGACCUUCCCCAUGAGGAGCUCAACAUUCUCCAUCUGAUUUACAACCAACAGUCGAUGAGGCACGAGUACGAGGUUCUAUGGUUACCCAUUGUUGACCAUGCAACGUCAAUGGGCCCAACACAGGAUAGACAAUUUCUAGAUCUUCGCAGCUCUAUGCCGUGGUAUUCUGUGGAUCAUCCUUCUUUGGUUAAUCCAGUAGCCAUUAGGUACGCCCGGGAGAUUUGGAAUUUCAGCCACAUGCCUAUGCUUGUUGUCUUGGAUCCACAAGGAAGAGUGGCGAACGUCAAUGCUUUACCCAUGAUGUGGAUUUGGGGAAGUGUUGCCUUCCCUUUCACUAAAGAAAUGGAAUUGAGACUAUGGAGAGAGAGUACCUGGGAUAUCGAGUUACUAGCAGACUCCAUUGAUCCACGUAUCCAGGAAUGGGUACGUACACCAUCUUACACCCUAAAUUAUUAUCCUUCUUGCUGCAAGCAUCAAUCACUGACCAUAAUGCAGUCGUUAUAACCAUUAAAAGAUAUGUCCAUGAAUAUCAGGAUUGGUAACUUGUUUUCAUACACCUAUGCGACAUAAAAAAAAAUGUCAUGCCUUGUAUUACUUCUGAUACAGGUUAGUGGUUCGUAAUAGAUAGUGAGCAUCGUAUUUGUAACACAAUGCUCAUAUAGGUUGAUUUUUAUUUUUUAUUUUUUUUGUCACAGAUAAAGGGCAACAAAACUAUAUGCUUGUAUGGUGGAGAGGACAUUGACUGGAUUCGGAGAUUCACAACUGUUGUGCGAAACAUUGCAAACACAUUGCGAGUUCCCUUGGAAAUGAUUUAUGUGGGAAAGAGCAAUCCGAAGGACAAAGUAAGAAGAUGCCAUGAAAUCAUUGACAGGGAGAAACUUAGCCACAUUUUUCCAUUGAAGGACUAUUAUGAUUAUGUUUGGUACUUCUGGGUGAGGCUGGCAAGCAUGUGGAACUCCAAAAUUCAACAUGGCAUGAUCGUUGAGACCGAUAAAAUAAUGGAGGAAAUCUUUACAAUGCUAACCUACGAUGCCAGUGAACAAGGAUGGGCUGUUUUCAGCAGGGGCAUUUAUGACAUGACUAAAGGCAAAGGUAACAUUUUGCUUAUAGUUCUCGACAACUUUAGACAAUGGCAAGAAAAAGUGGAUCACCCAGAUAAGUUUGUGCCUGUACUGAACGAGGAGAUCAGUGGCGUCCACCUCGAACACCACUGCAACCGUCUCAUUCUGCCGGGGCAAACUGGAUACAUCCCAGAGAGGGUGGUUUGCUCUGAAUGUGGACGUACCAUGGAGA
rnacentral:lncRNA from 1 species